AUCCGAUCACUACUUUUCAAACGCAAGCAAUGAUGCUUGUAUCCCAGCAGGCAUUGGAGCAAGAGUCCAAGUGGGCGGGGGGUAGGCUAGCUAGCUCUUGCUUUAUUUUUAUUUUUAAUUUUUUUAACUGUCGGUGUCCUUAUCAAUUAGUAUUUCUAAAUUAUUUUUUCUAGGUGUUAAAAUUAAUAAUUAAAUGAAUUUGUAAUGAUUUUAAGAUUUAUAAUACUCAAAUUAAUAAUUUUUAAAAAUUAAAUUUAAAAUUUAAUCAGUUAAAUUACAUCUUUCAAGAUUAUAUUCUUGUUUUAUUAUCUGAGUGAGUGGAUGAUGGAUGCUUCCCCUCCUCUCCUUUCGUCCCUUUUCACUGAAAAAUAAAUCAAACUAGGGUGAUUGUAUAGUAUUACUUUCGAACUAGACUCUUUUUGUCCAAUGCCGAAUGAUUCCUCUCCUUCAGCAAAUGAACUCUUUGUCUCUAUGAAGAUAACCUACUCAUACAUCUUUCUUUUUUCCUGCUUCUGCAUGCACUUUUAGUCUAUCCAGCAACGAGCACAUCAAUGCCAAGGCGGCAGUGCCCCUCCGUAUAUUUUAUAAUUUAAGAAAUCUACAAGGGAUCGCGAAUUUAUUGUUAAUGCAGGGACAAAUCAUAGUGGAUUCGCGCAUAGAUUUGUUUUUAUUUUUUAUUUUAUUUUUUAUCAUUUGGUUAUAAAAGUUUAUUUCGAUUCAGUUCUUUUAUAUUAAUGGCUUGUCUUGCGAUUGUUCAAACUGAGGUUCAGCCUUAAUUUUUUUAUUUGAAAAAAAUAAAAAGGGCCAAGGCUCUCGAGCAUAUGGUCAACAUUUUGGAUGUAACUUCUUUAAAAUUAAUUAAUUAAAUACACAUUAUUUUAUGUAAUACCAUUCAAAAUUAACUAAGUUUUCAAAUAAUGGUAUGAAAGUAUUUUUUAAUAUCAGCAAGUGUUAUUUUUGUACAACUCAUCAUAAUUAUUUUUUAUAUAUUUUAUUCAGUUACGUUAGUGCGAGUGUUUAUUUUUAUUCUCAUAUAAUUAAAUAAAAAAUAAUUUUAAAAUAAUAAAGCUAUUAAACUCAGUUGGGUUUAUGAUCUAAAUUAUAAACUUGACAAGUUAACUCGGGUUAAUUUAUUUUGACCUAAGAAAUUAUUAUCUUAAUAUUUAAAAAAAAUCUUGAUGUUUUCAUUCAGACGAAGUUAUGAAUUAUUGUCCGAUUGAUCUUCAAGUUGAUUUGUUGAGCGGUGAUAAAAAAUUCUUCGUGACAACACGCUUUUUUAUUCUUAUAUUUUUUAAUGCUCCACUUCAAAAAAAAAACUUAUUAUCUUACCCUAAAGUUGAGGGCAAUUAAGAAUUCUAGAUGAAUAUGCAUACAGUAUAUAAAAUACCCCAUAUAUAUAUAUAUAUGUAUAUAUAUAUAUGUAUAUAUCACUUUCUUAUAAGUUUUCUUUUUUUAUUUAUAAGGACUUUUUUUUAUUCAAUUUGAAUUAAUAAAAAAAACACACAAAUAGUUAAUUAAGCUGAACAAAUUAAUCAAUAUAUUUGUGCUGGGUUGGAUAAAUACUAUACAAAACAAAUUCAAUACAAGUAAAAACCAAUUUAGAUUAUAAUUAAAUAUAUUCGUGAAUUUUUUUUAAAAAAGUUAUUGAUUGUAUAAAAAUGAACCUUAAAACAAAUAAAUUGUUUUAAAUUAUGCAUGAAAUCUUCACAACAAUAUUCAAGACACCAUUUAAAAUAAAAAUAAACCUGUGCUGAGCUGAUACGUAUUCUUCCACUUGACAUAAAAGAGAUCCAUCACACGAGUAAAAGAAUAAUAACAAUCCAAGGAAAUUUCCCAGAAUUCUUAAUAACUAGCCAAAGUCACGAAAGGUUUCACAAAACCUUAUCCUAAAAGAAUUCUCUCCUCCAUCUCUGCCAACUUCUACGCUCCAUAAUCAUCAAACCCCCACAGAAUCAAAUGCUCAUCAUCCCAAAUCAUUGGUGGGCUCAUUUUGUCUACCCACUGACACACAAUCUCUGCACAUUUUACUCUUUUCACUGUCGUGUUUUGUUGAAAAACGGAGAGAGCGGCAAGAAAAGCACCACUAGUUUAUUCCUCAUUCAUGUCACUUUUAAUGAGUGGAUUAGAUUUGGAGGCUUGAUUAAUUAAAGGAGAAGAUUAACUUAAUGAUUCACGUAAUUAUUCUGAUCAUACUUGCGUCUUAUGCUCCCUUUUUCCCCUUGUAAUUAUUGCAAUAUAUUCCUUCAGAAAGUGAAAUUUGGGGUACAUGGCAUACAUUUUGUUUUUAUACUACUUCUCUUUGUAUUGUGUCGACUGUUUCAAAGUCAAUGUAUAUCCACUCGGGUCCAGAGUAGUGGCUUAUCUACUUGCUUUCUGCUGCUACACGUCCAAAAGCUUUGAAUAAUUCAUUUCUUUAAAAUGCCUUUCCAGAACUCCAAUGCUCUGUGAUAUUAACAUGUUUUCUUCGCAUGAAAUAGGAAUGGAAACAGCGGAGAGACCUGUGUAUAUACAUUGGAUUAAUUAAACUCUAAGAUUGGCAUAUAUGUGUGAUAAUUAAGAACUUUUAAAAAUAAUAAUCACAGAAAAUAUUUAACUUUGCUCUCAUAUACAUGUUUAUAAGUAUAGUAGAAAUCAAAAUCAUAUUUAUGGUAUCAUAUUCUUGUAAGAAAGUUCUAUUAUUUUCUUUAUAAAAAUAAAUAAAUUAAAAGACAAAAUCUUAAUUAAUUUCUAUAAUCUCUAAUUUGUAAUCAUUUUCAUGAAAUCGAGAGCAAAAAGAGAAAGGGCAAAGGAAAGUCUUCUUAUCAGAGCACAAAACCGUCUGGUUCCAUGCAUCAACCAAAAAUAUGGCCACAAAGCAUUGGAGAUAUCCUAACGAGUCAUAACGCAUUUCCACGAUAUAAAAAUACUCUCAUAGAAGACAGAAAAUUAAUGAUCACCCACUGCUUAUAAUUAUUAGGCAGCAUUCAUUUUCUGAACCAUUUUACUGAUCCAGUUUCAAACUUGAACGGCUGCUAAAUAUAUAUUAUGUCUAGCAAUCGAAGGUGGCCAUUAUGUUUUGUGGAAACGGACGUACCACACCUCCCUGAAAGAUGAAUGGUCCAGGGGAUGAUCGUCCAUAAAAUAUUAUAAAGAACAAUUUACGAAUAAUUUAGCCAGCAAAUGCUUAUUGUAGUUACUGUUGCUGUUGAUUCUUUCACUUAAAUUGUUUCUGUAUAAGUUUCUCAUCUCAUCUUAUUUUGUUUCAUGUCUGGCCAUGCUCGUUAAACUUUUUGAUGGACACGGGUUUGAUGGCACAAUUUCUUCAAGAUCAAUAAUUAAUAAGAUUUUAUAAUAUAAUCUAUGAUCAUAUUUCCUUUCAAAUAUAAUAAACUCCAGAUCAUGUCUUGUUAUUAAUAAAGAUUUUAUCCAGCCCGUUAUAAAUCCUUAAUGCAUAGUUUUUUUUUAUAUAUUAACUCAAAGAUGUCUUUGUAGUUGAAGAUAUAUAAAUAUUUUAUUCAUUUGUUUUUAAGAUUUAUCAUGUUUUAUGGGUGACCUAACUUAAUUCUUCUCAUCAGGAUAGCCGACAGUGCAUUAUUGGAAGUGCGUGUCCAUGUAUACAUAGCAAGUAGGUCCCCAAGACGCACAGAUCAACUUUCUAGUUAAGCAAAGAUCCGGAUUCUUGUUGAUGAAUCAUAUUCUGCCUCCAUUAUAACUCUAUGAAGCUCCAAUUAUGUGCCUAAGGACCUACUUUAUUUGCUUUUUUUCCCCUGUUGAUUGUUUUUUUUCUUUUUCACAGUACACAGCAAACUUUGAAACAAACAAGGCUUCAACACCCCGCUCGUGAAUAUCACAUAACUAUAGAGAUAGUGCACAUCGUUUUCUACCUUCACAAUUAGCAACUAGGUAACCACCCACCAUCCCCAUUAAUUAAAAUUAAAAAGAAAGCUGUUCUAGCAAGCAACAUUACAUGCAUGAUGCCCAUCUCUAGCUAGUAAUUAGAACCAGGCUUGGAGUGGGAGACAUUUCAUGUGCUGUGUUUAAAAAAAGGAGAUCAUUAAUUAAUGGCCCGUGAUGGGCUCCCGACUUGAUUCAUCAUCAAUUUAGAUUAUGAAUAAAUCAAUCAUAUAAAAACAUGUCAUUUUCUUAUGUAAUGGUAUUAGGAAACAUAAUAUUUUUUUUCUUCUAAUAGCAAAAAAACAAAAACAAAUUAUAUAUUUUUUAGACAAAAAUGAUUUGAAAAAUAGAUUCUUAAAUAAAAAAAAACACCCCUUGAUUUUUUUAUCUCCUAAUAAUUGGAUUAUAACAAGAAAGACUUCGUUAUAAACUUUUUAUAUAAUAGGAUAGCCCACCUUCAUUAUCUAUAAUUAAGUGCUUGUUUGGAGCUUUGUUUGUACUGGAAUUUCAAUAAAUUUUAAAUUUUUUUGUAAUGUGUAUCAUUUUAAUAUGCUAACGUUAAUAUUAUUUUAUAAAUAAAAUAAUAUUAUUUUAAUAUAUUUUUAAAUAAAAAAAUAUUUUAAAAAUAGCAUCAACCGCAUGCAACCGAACCCUCUACUUUUCUGAAGCUAAUUUUAGCUACUUUUCUCAAGUUAGUUUUAGCACGAAAAGAAAUAUCAAAACUUUAACUAUUGACCUUUCCCGUGGACACAUUAUAUAGCAUUUCUUUUUUAACCCUCAUUAUUUUAAAGCAAUCUUCGACAUGGCUUUUGUUUGUUAGUGGAGAAAUUAAGGAACAGAAAAGUAGUAAAGCAAAGCAAAAUAGCAAGGCUGCCGGGCACAUAAUAGGAUCAUAGGCGUAAACAAAGCACAUAACUUGGCUAAUAAUUGAGAAAUGUAAAGGGAAACUACAUAUGCCAAAAAGCAUUGGAAAAGUAAGUGGUAAUGGUUAAUCUUGGUACGUUAAUGGGUGGCGAAGGUCCAAGCGAAUCAUUCUCUUGAUGUGUCGCCCACUAGCAUGUGAGCUGCAUACUAUUCUAGAGAGGGAGAGGGAGAGAAGCAAUUUCCCUUGUUUGUUUGCUACGAUAAUGUGAAAGAUAAUGGUAGUAGUGGGGUUCGUCCAAAUGGUCAACCUUUGUAUAGAGAGAGAUAUGGUGUUGCAUACUUUCCAUGCCCUAAGAUUCGUUCCUCUACUCAAUUCAUUCCUUUGAUUAAUUAUCAUAGCCACCUACCUACCCACCCAACUCCCCCCCUUAAACACAAAUAAAAAGUCUUCCUCAUUCUCUUCCUUUUAAUAAGACCCUUUGUCUCCCCAUUCCUCUCAAACUUGCUCUCCCCUAAUUCAUCAUUCCCUCUUCCUUUUGUAUUCCCUUCGUCUUAGAAAGAGCGCUGUUCUUGUUUGUAACUCUAAUGGGGUGCCUUGAUGAUGGGUGCAACACUGGCCUUGUUCUUGGGCUAGGCUUCACAACAACAAACCUAGAGAAUACAUCUAGGCCAGCUGAUAACAACAAGCGGCUUAUAAAGCCUCAGAUUAAGCCACUAAUGACAGGUUUUGAGCCUUCACUUAGUUUGGGUCUUUCUGCGGAAACUUAUAGCCUUGUGGAUGGAAAAAAAGGCUGUGAGGAGUCUAUUGGUGCUCAUGAUCAGUUGUAUCGUCAAGCUUCUCCUCAUAGUGCUGUUUCUUCUUUCUCUAGUGGUAGGGUUAAGAGGGAAAGAGACCUUAGCAGUGAAGAUAUAGAGGUAGAGAGGGUUUCUUCAAGAGUAAGUGACGAAGAUGAAGAUGGUUCUAAUGCAAGAAAGAAACUUAGACUCACCAAAGAGCAAUCUGCCCUUUUGGAGGAAAGCUUCAAACAACACAGCACCCUCAAUCCUGUAAGUAAUUAGUCUCUUGAUCUCUGUUUCAAUUUGAUAUCUGAUUUUGUAUUUAUGUGUCUGUUCUGGUGAUUAGAGUUCUGAUCUUUCUUUAAUAAAUGAACAGAAGCAAAAGCAAGCUUUAGCAAGGCAGUUGAAUCUACGUCCGAGACAAGUUGAAGUGUGGUUCCAAAACAGGAGAGCCAGGUAAUCAAUAUCAUCUAAUUUAACCGUGUAAAGACUUAUAUAAGCCAUCAAAAUCAUCUCCACAAAACGAUGCCAUGAUAUCCAUAGCAAUCCAAAAGCCCCAUAAAAGAAGUUUCCUAUCCCUGAAAAGAAUUAUUAUUUUUUAAAUUAUAGAUCAAAUUGUAUACAAGGGGCCGUAGUUAAUGAUGGCUAGUGAUCAUGUGCAGGACAAAACUGAAGCAAACUGAAAUGGACUGUGAAUUCUUGAAGAAGUGCUGUGAAACACUAACAGAUGAGAAUAGGAGGCUACAGAAGGAGCUACAAGACCUUAAAUCACUGAAAAUGGCACAGCCCUUUUACAUGCACAUGCCAGCAGCUACUCUUACCAUGUGUCCAUCUUGUGAAAGAAUUGGUGGGGUUGGUGAAGGGGCUUCAAAGAGCCCGUUUUCAAUGGCUACAAAGCCUCACUUCUAUAAUUCCUUCACUAAUCCUUCGGCAGCAUGUUAAUGAAGGUUCAGGAUAUAUAGAAGACAAAUAAAAAUAGAAUAUAUAUAGUCCAACCCUACAAUCCCUCUAAUUUUUUUGUUAAGAGUUUGUAGUAAAAGAUUAAUUAGUGUAAUUAAUUAUUUUGUAGAAAAUAGUAGUUACCGAUCAGUCCUCUUUUUCCCUUUUUUUCAAUUCAUUACAUGUUUGUAUAUCGUGAAGCAAAUUUAAAACAAAAAAAAAAUUCUAUGAAGGGAUGACUAUUGUUUUUUGAUAUUUAUGAGUUCCUCUCUUACCAAUGUAUUCCUCCUCUGUUCUCCGUCAAUUUCGCCAGGUUCGAUUAUAGGACGGGCAGUCAUGACAUGAUGCCAAAACCAUCAAAUUUCUGCAUGAUCCAUUGAAUUUUUUGUUUUAUUUUUACGAAAUUUAGUAAAUAUUUUUUGGUGCAGCCUAUAUGAAUUUCGAACAAACACAUGAUCAUUCCCAUUGAAUCAUCACAUGCUAAUAAAUUGGAACUGGAAUUAUAAUCUCACAAGUUUCUAUCAUCCUCUGAUCAAAGUCACUCUCAAAGUCAUAUUUUUGUGCCUUUUUUAUAUUUUUGAGAGAGAGAGAGAGAGAGAGAGAGAGAGAAACACCAUAAAAUUGAGUUCAAAUUGAACUUUUCUACAGAACAUGUACAAACUCUUCCUGAAUUAUACAAGUAGACAAAUUAAUUCUAUAUCAAUCCUUUUCAAGCAAUCUGAUAUAUAAUUGAAUAACCCAAUAACAACAACAAUAAAUUACCAAGGAAGAGAGCAACGAGUCAUGCCACAGUAAUGAGUCAUGCAUGCCCCACAACCUUGCUUCUUCUUUUUAUAUAUAUAUAAAAACACUUUGGUUUCGGCAGUUUGCUGGGCAAUCUGUGGUGUGGUGUCUCAAAGCAAGAAGAAAGAAAUAUUAAAUGAGGAUAAUGAUAAAUCAUUUGAUGAUUAGGAUUAGACAUUACUGGUCAUGUGUGUGGGAGCAACAGGAAGAUAAGAGAGGUGGGGAUAUGGGCGGUUAGCUCACGUGUACCUGUCUCUAAUAUAUUCAGUUCGUGUUAGAAAGCGAGAAAAGGGAGUCGUCAAGAGAAUGGGUGGUGGCGAGAGGCGUGUAGACAAAGAAAGGAAUGGAUGAUUCAUUCCAAGAAAUUCAAGAUCACAUAACAUUUUUAAAAAGCAUCAAAUGUCCUCGUACGUUCUUGAUGUCCGUGUUUGGUAUUAUGCACGAUUAUUAUACCACCUACGGGUUGACCCGACUGCAUGGUUGGAUUUUGGGUCAACCCGGAAAAAUAAAAAUAAAAAUCCGAGGCUUUAACAUCUAACAUGAAAAAGUUAAAAAACAUUUUAAGUAGAUGUAAGCGAUGUAUACAGCUAGCAUAUAUCAAAAAGUUAAGAAACAUUUAAUAUGGAUAUGAGUAAGCUAUGUAUAUAAUUAUCCAACAUCUAAAUAUUCAAUGUUGAUUUAGACUAUAUAUAAAGUUAUUUCACAUCAAAAAUUUAAAUGUAUGUUAUAAAAAAGAUACAUGGAGCCAAGUAUUCAUAAAUUAAUUUUAUAUUUUUUUGGUUUAUUAAAAAGAAAUUGAAAAAAUCAGGUCUCACCUAAGUUACGAGUUUGACCCACCUAAUUACAAGCCAAGUUCUUUUUAUUUAAUACAUGGCUAAGAUCUCAGGUCGCGGGUUAACUCGUUAUGCCGUGCGAGCCAAGUAACAAAGUAUGGAUGAUGUUUUUCAAAUAUUUAUUUUACUGGAAAACAAAUUAAUUUUUUUAUUUUAACUUAACAUCAAAAUCAAAUUAUUUAAAAAUAUUAAAAUAAUAUUAAUUUGAUAUAUUUUAAAGAUAAACAUUCAUUUAAAUAGCAUAAACAAACAAAAGCUACUGCACCUCAUCUCUGAACUCGAUCUCGUCAUCGUCAUCGUCGUCGUCAUCUUGAGGUAGCUACAUCUCCGAGGGUACCAGUGGGGCCACAUAGCACGUGAUGUACCCAUGGCACCUUGCUCCUUUUAUCUACCAUUUUCAUCAUGGGAUUCUGCAAUGAAUCUCGUGUUAUUAGACUCUUCUGUUAUGUAGGGCCGGUUCAAAUCCCAAACCCCAUCCAAAAAGUUAGAUACUCCACUUGAUCUGAGGCCAGGGCUUACUAUCUGGACGGUCCAGAUUAACGGGGUUCUUGACAGAAAAAAAUAUCAUGAUUGGUGUGGGACAUUGCCCAUUGAAUUGACGGGAGGGUUCUCUUCGAUAAUUAGAUGCCUGAAAUCAUGGUGUGGCGUGGACCAAUGAAUGACGAGGUGACUUUCCCGUCGAAGAGGGGCCUUUCCAGGAAACUCACUCCCCCCUCGUCACUCUCACCACCCAUCUGUAUCACUAUCAUUGAAUCACCGACCGCCAUUUGGCGCAUCAGUAGUGACGUCAUUCCCCCCUCUCCCCACGCUUGACACUUAAGGUAUCUAUGGACAGCAUUCUUUAAUUAACUCUCAAUUUCUCUCUCUAAGCAAUCUUAACUCUUAAGAGUCCAUUUUUUUAAUUAAAUAAUUAUCUCCCUUGAUUACCAAACCUAACCAAUGAGAUUAUUGGUAAUGAUAUCUGUCAAGAUGUUAAGGGUUUAGUUUUUAGCAUUUAGUUACUUGAUUACGACACGUGCAAAAAGAUUAUAAAGUUGUCCUCUUCCUUGCUGUGCUCACCAGGUUAAUCCUUUAAUUUGACGAGUAUUAAGCUCGGCUCCCUUUUUCUUUAACAAUAGUAACUAAUGACUGGUGGCAUUUGUAAAAAAAAUUCAUUCCAUUGGAUUCUGUAUUUUUAUGAACUCUUCGAAUCCCAACUCUCGCUCUAGAGAUUAUUUGCUUAUUUUUAUCUUAAAACUAAUUCAUUAUUUUAAUUAAUUUUAUAUACUUAUCCAUAUUAUUGUUGUUAAAAUGUACCUGAAAAGAAAAAUCUAAGCUGUCCAAUUUUUCAAAUACAUUAUCCAAUUCCUAUUAAUCUAUUAAUAAAAUGAUGAGGGAAGAGAUUGAAAAAGCAAUUCUAAUAAAAAAAAUUAAAAACAAAAUAAAUAAAAAUAAAAAAAAUAUAAACCAUAUUUAACAUAAAAUAAAAAGAAAUAAAAUAUCGAAUGAUGCAAUUAAAAAAAUAACUCAAUUAAGAGAAUAAUAUAAAAUAUUGAAGGAUACAAUUUUAAAAAAAUAUAUCUAAUUAAAAGAAUGAUAUAAUACAAUAUUGAGGGAUACAAUUGAAAAGAUAAUUCUACUAAGAUAAUAUUUUAAAAAAAAAUAAAAUCAAAAAAAUGGGGACCGGAUUUGAAAGUUAAAAAAACCAAAGGAGGAUUAAAUUGAAAGAAAUUUUUAAUUCUAUGGAUAAUCUAAAAUAAAACAAAUAGCAAUAAAGAAGAAUAAUGAUCAAAUUUGAAAGAAAAAUAAAUUGAAGGGUAACUUUGAAAAUUUGUAAUGGUUAGUUUUGAAACCGAGAAAGAGAGAGAAAAAAAAGAAGGAAAAAAAACAGCCACCAUCACAAACCCGACAUAUUUGUGCCACAUGCACUGCCCAGGAAUGAAGGUGACACCGAGAGAAUUAAAACAUUGUUGUAAAAGUUAGAGUUUGGUCGCUGGACAAAAACCACAAGAAAACUUGUGCACGCUCGUAUCGGCCCCACGCACAACCACCUUUUUCAAAUUAAACAAUGAUUUAUUUAUGCAAAAAUACUAAAUUACCCCUGACCAUGUUCAAUGGCUACAAAAAAAAAAUGACAAAAUGAAAUGACAAAAACACCCCCUAACCCAAGGCAAGGACAAUUUUCAUUCAAGGGCCUUGUAGUAAUUUUACCAUGCAAAUAAAAUAAAAAAUUCUUGACUAACCCUAUCCACCGGCGCAAAUAUAUUAGUUAUUUUACUAUUCAAUAAACAAGAAAAAAAUUACUAUGCCCCGCUACAAAGGUUAUUUGUGUAGUGUUAAUAGGGAUAAAAAUAUCAUUUUAUUGUUUCAAUUCACAAUAUUAAUAAGUUUAUAGCUACAAUAAAAAUUAAAUAAUAAAACAACUAUCUCUUUUAGUUUCUUUUAAUUAAUUUGGUGUACCCUGAUGAAUAUAAUUUACUAAAACAAGACUAAUUGUUACUUCCUAUAGUAUUUUCUAGCAAGUUUAAGUAGUUUUAUCUAAAGAGCUUAUUUUUUUACCCGACUCAAUAUACAUAUAUAUAUCCUACCAUUUAUUAAUGCUACCCUUUUACAAAAAAAAUAAAUCAAUAUCAGUCGUAACCUUUAAUUUAUUUCAAUUCCCUAAUAUAUCCACCGAUCAAUUAUUUAUGUUAAAAUUAAUCGUCACAUGGACAACAUACAAUAUUUUCAAUAUAAAUCGAUGAGAAUACCCGUUUAAGUCAAUAAAAAAUGUCCAUUUGAGUAAAAAAAAAAAAAAAGUUUAAAUGCACUGUACAUGAUAGUUUCAGUAUAUAACCAAGUUUAUCCAUAUUCAAAUCCUUGAAGAAGUUGUUAUGUUUGUGAUAAAAAGUUUUUGUUGGGUUUUUAAAUAAUAAUAAGAAAAAAUAAGAAAAAUUGUAACAUUUGUGAUAAAAAUAGUGAUAAUAAUAUAUUGAUUAUGGUUAUGAUAAUAGUAUCUAUGACAAUGUUAAUAGUAGUUAUAGUCUAGGGAUGAUGGUUUUUGUGAUGAUAGUGAUAAGAAUAUCAAUAGUGACGGUAACUGUUAAUGACGGUGAUUAUUAUUAUGGUAUUGACUAUGAAGAUAACAAAAACAAUGAUGAAGUCUAAGGAUGAUGGUUAUUGUGAUUAUAGUGAUAAGAAUAUCAAUAGUGACAGUAACUGUUAAUGACGGUGAUUAUUAUUAUGGUAUGUCUAAGGAUGAUGGUUAUUGUGAUGAUAGUGAUAAGAAUAUCAAUAUUGACGGUAACUGUUAAUGAUGGUGAUUAUUAUUAUGGUAUUGACAAUGAAGAUAACAAAAAUAAUGAUGAAGUGAUUGGUACACUAAUAUCAACUGAUGAUAUAUUAGUGAUGAUGGUGUUAAUGUAAAGUAUUGGUUGUUAUCGGAAAGGUAAUAAAAGUGUUAAAGAGUUAUGAUGAGAUGAUGAUAAAAUGAAAAUUAUAUUAAUAAUAAGAUGAUAGUUACAAUAAAAGUUGAUAUUGGUUGUUAUCAUGUGAUAGUGAUUAUAUUGUUAAUUUUGAUUGAUGAGUUUAUAGAACGAAGAAAAAAAAAAUUUCCUUGUAAGGUUAAAAAGUAUUUUUUAAAAUUAAAUAGAAGUGAUCAAAAAAUUCUUCAUAUUAACUUAUUUUUUAAUAUGUACUUUAAUCUAAAAAUAUUUCUUAAAAAAAAAGUUGGGGAUCACAUCAAAUUUUGCAUGCAACUGCAAAUUAAAAAAAAUAUUACAAAAACAAUUUUAACUAGUUUUGCCACAAACUUCCUUACAAAUCUGUGCCAUGAUCCUAUACGUUCUAUGAUUCAUUACGGUAGGUAACCGACAACAUCAUUGUAAAGUCCAUCGCAAUUUAAUUAAAGAAAUAGAAAAUAUAUUGACUGUUGGUCACAAAAUAUCACAUUUUUUUAUAAAAAAAUAAAUAAUUUAACAGAUAAUAAACUUGUCAAACCGCUUUUCUCUUUUUUGUGUGUGUAUUCACGCAUGCAAAAUUACAUAUAUAUUAUAACGGUAAAAUAUGAAAGUAAUUCUAUUGUUUUAUUUUUCUAAUUGAAUGAACAGAAUAUAUUGUUAAUCAAGAGUCAAGUAAUUAAGAUGAUUUAUCUUAUAAUCUAUUUAUAUAUUUACUGAGAGGUUGAAUGGACUAAUCCUUUCUUUGCUCAUGGCGGAAAUUGAAAAUCUUAAUUACUAAGAGAAAACAGAAUAAAUAAAUAAAACAUCUUAUUAAUAAUUCGUAAUGAAACGAGCAAAACUAGGGGUAGAAAGUUCAACAAGUUGCUCUGAAUUCUUCAAGGAAAAAAGCAACAUUCUGUUCAAAAGUCACGUAUAAGCUUAGGACAAAAAUCUCCUCUUAAAAUAUCACAGAUUUAGUUUACGGUUUACGUGUGCACUCACGUAAUAAUAUUGAAAUAAAAGAAGAACAUAUGUCUUCUGUUGGCUAAAUUGUCGGCCUGUCGAGUUUUGUACCAUGAUAAUCAUGGAUUUGGAUUAUACGCAUACUAUUCAGUACUUCCAACAGAUAAGGUUUUUUUAUAUAAUUAAAGUAUUAUGGUAUUGCUUAAUUACACGUAAAUUAAAAUUCAGUAUUUAUAUGUUAAUUUUAAAUAACGUUUGAUUAUUAUUUUCAAAUGGAAAAAAUAGAAAUAGUGAAAAUAUAACAAUUAUAUUUCUCAUGUUUUUUAUUUAAAAAAUAUAAAAAUCCAUCUUAAAACUAUUUUUGAAACAAAUUUAUAUUAUGUAUUUAUCUAUGUUUUUUUAAUCAAACAUCAUGUAUGUUCUUAAUAUAUUUGCUUGAAUAUUAAUUUAAAUCCUUGAAUUUAAAAAAUAAAACAAAACUCCUUGAGAAUCAAACUAAUCCCCUCAUUUUAAAUAUACAAGUUUCUUUCAACUACCCUCCAAUUUCAAGCUAGACGAAUUACAAUUCCCCACUCUACUAAUGAAGAGUGCAAUAAUUAUAUUUAUGAUUAAGAAGCUUGAGAGUGGACUCGAGAAAGCUAGAAGGGUUUUUUUUUCUUGGCUGGUAGUCAUGACUAGUAACAAGGGUGGUUUCCUGGAAGGAAAGGAAAUAGUUCUGAAAGGACGGGAUGUGAAAAUUCUUGGAAUUUUAAAAAGUUCAGAGGUUAAUUUUGAUAAAAAAAAAAACCCUUCUCGUGUCCUCUACAAAAUGGAAAUACAAAUAUUUGGUAGCGAAAACUAACUAGUGUACUUUAAAAUAGUUCCUUUAAGUAUUAUCUAAAUAUAUUUAUUAUACUUUAUUUAUUAUUGAAUUAUGAUAAAAAAAAUUACAAAUCAAAUAUUUAAAUAAAAAACAAUAGUAUUGAUUAGAAGGGAUUUUCAAGAUCGGUUUAUAUAUUAAUUAAAAUUAAGUUCAUUUUUAAAAUGAUAUUUGAGGUGCAUAUCUCAUAUAUCAGUCCGUUGUAUUCAGAAAAACUUAAUUAAUCUUUCUAAAUAUUAAUUUUAAAAUCUAAACCUAAGAAAUAAAAAAAAAAUGCAUCUAUUUAACUAUUAUAAAAACCAAAAAAAAAAAAAAAGUCUUGCCGAAAGUAAAUAGCAAGGGCCCGUAGAAGAAGGUCCAUGUUGCUUCAACCAUAACGCCUACAAAUCAAAUAUAUAUGAUGGCUAGAGGAAAAUGUAUUACAAGCACGUGAUCAUGUAGGAUUUCCUUUAGACACGAUAAGUUUUCUUUAUCACCACAUUUGAUAAAGUAGACAACUUGUCGGCGAACUUUAUCACCAAAUUUUGUAGCUGAGAGUACGCAAUAUAUAUAUAUAUAUAUAAUUGAGUAGACUAUACAUUUAGAAAUUCGGUGAGAAAAAUCUUCCGAAUAUUAUAACAUUUGAUUUAUUGAUUUUAUACAUCAUUUACAUAGUAGAUAAAUGUCUCGAAAAGCAUCAAUCAUCAAUUGCCACACCAGCUCAAGAAACUUUAUACGAUUCGAUAAAUAACUAUCGAUGAUUAAACAAUGCAACAGAAAUAAACAUGAUGAAAAUUAAAAAAUAUUUAAAUAAUGUAAGAGAAAUAACCGGCCAUAAAGAGUAGAAUCCUUUUUCUUUUUAGGUGGGAAAAUCAUGAUCAAGAUCAAAACAUCUUGUAACACCUCCAUUAAUUUAACCACAAUAACUUGAUGGUGCCGGCGCAGCAACUCUUUUAAGGCCCGAGUUUCUCUCUUUUGGUUUUUUUUUUUUUGUUGUCAAACUUCACUCCAUCAAGUAAAUAAACCACCUAUUUAUGUUUUAAAUUUGAGUUAAUUUAUUAAAACUUGUUUGUAGUAUUUAUAAUUUGCUUGUAAAUUUAAGUGUUUUACUUAUAUAAUUCAAACUUUAGUUAUUAAUGUAGGAUUUGUAUUUUAGAGUUUGUUUGGGAUUUGAGUAUAAUGGAUUUUAUUUUUCGCUUGAUGAAAUUGAUUGUGAUUUUGUAAUUUAGGUGUGUUAAAAUUGAAGAAAUGAUGGGUAAUUCACUACCACAGUCUUUAGAUUUACUGACGGAAUUUUUCGUCGGUAUUUGUACUAUCAUUCUGUUGGUAAUUAAUUUACUAACGAAAUCAUCGACGAAAAUGCUCCGUCGGUGAAUCUUUUGUUCGUCGGUAAGUCUGUUGGUAAUAAAAAAAUAUUAUUACCGAUGGAUUUACUGUCGGAAAAGGUGCGCAAAAAAAAUUAUCUGCUUCAUUCCAUCAGUAUUUCCCUCGGAAAAUACCGUAUGUAAUUUCGUCGGUAAUUAUUUAAAAAUAUUUUUUAAAAAAUCCAUUUUACAAAACUACAAAAUAAUUAAAUUAAUAUAAAUCAACACUCUAUAAUACUUAAAACGCUUGGAAAAAAGAAGAAGAAAAUCAUAUGAAAAAAAAAUCCUACAACAAUAUUCAUACAAUUAUUAAGAACAAAAACAAUUAAAAAUAAAAUAAAAUAACAAAUAUAGUGAAAAAAAACACGAAAAAAGAAGAAAAAAGAAAAAUCUUACCUUAUUGUGGUUGCAAGUGAAGCUAAGAAGAGAAAGAAAAAUAAAAAUUCAUAAAAUAUAUUAAUUAAAAAAAACUGAGAAGAAAAAUGAAGAAAGGAGAAGAAUACAUACCUAAGCAUGGAGGAGAAGAGAAGGAGUUGAGGAGAGAAGAGAAGAGAAAGAAAUGGAUAUUGAUGUUUUUUUACAUAUGGGGAAGAAGAAGAAGAAGAAGAAGAAGAAAAGAGCCCCUCUGUUGUGAAAUUACAGAUUCUAGGCUUUUUAUUGAGUGUUUUACCGAUGGAUAAUUAAAUAUUAAUAUUUUUAAUCAUUUCGUUAGUGAUUCCGUCUGUAAUAUUUAAUUUAAAUUUUCAAUUUAAUCAAAAAUUUUCAGAAACCGUCAAAUAUCACCGACGACUUUUAAAUCUGUUGGUGAUUCCGUCUGUAAUAUUUAAUUUAAAAUUUUAAUUUAAUCGAAAUUUUUCAGAAAACCGCAAAAUAACACUGACGACUUUUCAAUAUGUCGGUGAUUUUAUCUGUAAAGAACAGUGCAUUUGAAAAGUGAAAAGUUCCAGAGCUCUCUGAAAAUACCGAUGAAAUUUUAUGUUGGUGAUUUCUUUGUAAUUAAUAUGAUGAAUAGUGUUCACAGUUUACCAACGGAUUUACCGAUGAAAUUUUUUCUGGUAAAAAUGACACGUCAUUGUUUUUUUGCUUUGUUUUAAUUAUUUUUUUCCCACUGUAAUUCUCUCAGUAAAUACCGAAGGAAUAUUUCUGUCCGUAAAAUCCAUCGGCAAUUUACCAACGAAAAUAUUCUCUCGAUAUUUCUAUUUGUAUUUAUCAAUUUUCUAGUAGUGAUUUAAUGGGUACUAAUUAUUUUUUUUUGUCAAUUUUAUGGUUAAGUUGAAAGUUUGAAGAAACUUGAAUUUGUAUGGAAUUGAUAAUAAUUAAAGGUUAAUUUGGGUUGAAUAAGUUUGAGUUAAAGAAAUGAUGGAUAAUUAAUUGAAUCCCAAUAAAUUUUAGUCAAUUUAAGGUUUUUUUUUUUAAAUUUAGGCAAAAUUAAAUUAAUGUGUAAUUGAUAAUAAUCAAGGUAUUAAUUGUUGUUAUUUAUUACUGGAUUGAAUAGCAAAUGGGUAUAUGUAAGUUGGUAUCAUUAUUUUUUCCCAACUUUAUGGUUUCGUUUAGAAUUUUAAAAAAAUUAAAUUUUUAUGGAAUUGAUAAUGAUUAGAGUUAAUUAUGUUUCAACUUAUAAAGUGAUUGAUAAUUAUUGAAUUAUGAAUUACAUUCUUCUAUAUUGAGGGAAUUGAGUUACUUUAAAAUUUAAGAAAUGAUGGGUUACUAAGUUGUUAUUGUGAAUUAUUAGUUGGUUUGUGUAGUUUAAUUAUGAUUUAUUUUUAAUAAGGUUGGAUUUGUUAUUGGAAUGCUUUAUUAUCAUUUUGGUAAUUGUAAGUUACUAGUUCCAAAUUUCACACCAUGCUUAAGAACCAAGAACACACACUAACAAAUAAAAAAAAAGCAGCAAUAACCCUACUACCAGAUUUCGAAUCACUUUAUUUCAUUUAAUCUAAACAUCCAGCAACAUCAACAUGCAACUCCAAACAGGAUCAAACAAAUAAAAAAAAUUAACAUUAUGUGUUUUAAUCAAAAUCAAAGUUAAAAGCAAUAUAAUGUAAUUCCGAGCUCAAACAAUGGUUGCUACCCAUUAGUUUCUUCUUUUCCAAGUUUGUUACUUUCUCUCAAAGUUGAGAAAAUCCUUGUGUUAGGCUCUUAAACCUUCAUAGUUUAGAGUUCCUUUAUCUCCUUUCUUUCCCUUCUGCUUUGAUUUUUCAAGGGAUAUUUAUAAUGUUUCAAACUAGGAUUUUUAUGGAUUUAAUGAAACACUGAUCCUCCUUCCUCAAAGCUUAGCUUUCUGAUCAAAAUGAGAGUUUUAGGUACGUUUAUAGUUGUGAUCUUUGUAUCUAUACUGGUUUUACAAUGGUGGUUUUGCAACAAAUUUGGUUUUAGAGAUUUUGAUGGUUUUUCCAAACUUGGAGACCAAGGAGCUCAUUUAUGGCCUUUUGAUCUUGAGAGAAAUGUGGUCAUCGAUGACUGAGUUACUCACUUUCGAGACUUCAUCGGAGCAACUCCAACAUCAUCAUCGUAUGGGCAACUCCGACUUAAUCAUCAUCAAUAAUUUUACUGUAUGUUUUUCUAAUUUGUAUUCAUUAUUUCCUUCCAAGUACUAUAUUUUUAAGAAAAAGGAAGUUCAAGUCCAAGUUCAAUAAAAGCGCUCCCACUUCAUCAAGUAGUAGUGUUGAUGAUCAUGUUGUGAAUCCAUGGAAGGGUUAUAAAGAGGCACCUAAAUUAUUAAGAUGUUAAGGUGAAUGAAAUGUUUGAAAGAAAUGUUUAUCUUGGAUAGUUGUUGAAGACACUACAGUGUCUUGCUGUUUAAGAACUAUGUUUUAUAGUGCAAUAACUUGUGUUGUAAGGAUAUAUAGUGUUAAAAUCAUGAUUGGCUUAUAAAAAAAAAAAAUCUUCGACGAAAAGAACAUUUCGUUGGUAUUUAUAUAAGAAGUUCCACCAGAAUGUUUGUAUACAUUCUGUAACUUUGGACAAAAAUUAUAGAAUUGUAGAAACUUUGGGUUUCCAAUUUUUAAAAAAACUUUUUAUUUCGUCGACAAUUUCCAAUUCCGAUGGAUUUCUCGAUGAAAAAUUAGCGGUAAAAGCUAAUUCUAGGCAUGGAUAUUCAAUCGACGAUUCUGUUGGUAUUGAAAAUUAUUAACAGAAUAAAAAACACGACAAGUUUGUUUUUUAUUAUAGUAUUUUGUCUCCAUGUAAAACACCAACAAAAUCUUGCUUGUACAUCGACAUAAUAUUAUGUUGGUGUUUUCCAAAAAAAAUUAGUGUAAAGAGAAAAAUAAGAGAGAAUCUUUAAAUGUAAAUGAAAAUAUUGUUAUUAUAUUUGAUAAGACUGGAUAUAAUUUUUUAUUUUUAUUUUUUUCUCAAUUUAAUGUGAUGUAGAUUUAUUGCGUAAAUAUUAUUGAUAAUCAUUAUAACUAUGUACAAAUGCCGUAUAUACUUGGUUAUAGUUGCUAGUUCUUGUAUCGUAGUAAAGAUUGUAACUUAAAAAUCCAACUUGCUCUCUUAUAGUCAAGGAUCAAAUGAGUGUCAUCAAUGAUAUUCUUUUGCCUAAAUGCGUAUGUGGGGGAAUUGUUUAACUUAUUUCUUGUACAUCAUAAUUUAUUUUUGGCAACUUCUUGCACAUCAUAAUUAAGACCGAAUUUCUUUUUUAUAAUUAAGCCACUUUUGAAUUCAAAUUGUCUCAUUGGGCAUCUAUGAAAAGCCAAUACUAUGAAGGUAGCUAGUAGAGCCUCUGGACCACUUCUUUUCGCACACUUGUCUUUUAUUACUAUUUGUUUUGGUGCAAAACCUUCUGACUGUGUUUAGACUAAUUAUGGGAAACUUGAAAAACAUGGCAAAAUAAUGAAGUGAAAACAACGUAAAAUUUGGUGAGGAGGUCCGGAAAGGAGAAAACCUAGACUAGCAUUGGUUAUUUUCUUUGAGAUAAUUAAGACUAGGUUAGGUUCUUGUUUUCAAAUGUCACUUGUUUUCCUCGUUACCUUGUUGCCGAACAUGAACUCUCUUCAACGCAACUAGUUUUAUGCCAAGUUUUCCUCAUUAAAUCCCUUUCAGAUUGAGCGUUCUCUGCCUCAGCUUUAUUACUAGCGCUAACCCCACUGAAGGAAAUGCCCUGGAGCCAUCAUUUCUCCUUUGCAAAUAGUGUAGCAUUCUUCAUUUAGCUAGUGAAGUUCUUUUAAGUAAUUCACAAACAAACCUUCACACCUGCUUUGGGUUUAUUGGUGAUACUUGCAAGUCACAAGAUAGAUACGAUAAUAAUAUUAGGUCGUUGUGUCUUGUGUGCAAAUGCAUGAAGACAACUUGAAGAGACUUGUUGCGCAGUUGCCAUUUGCCACCAUGAAGACUGGCGUAGGUGCGAUCCUGCUCCUAAGGAGGGAGGGGUUGGCGCCUGUCCAUCCUUGGAGGCCGGAUAAUGCACAACUCCUCUCUUCUUUUGGUGCUUUUGGAUCCUCGAUCGUUCAUAUAUUUAUUUUUCGAGGAGCAAACAAUUUAUACAAAUGGAUGGAUUAUUUAAUCAACAUGUUGCUGAGAAAUAUAUGAUGAAAUAGCACUUGUGCGGGAAUGAAAUGAGAUGGUAUGGAAGAAGAAUACAUGAAAAACGAAAUUAUAAUACAUGGGAAACCAAUUUACAUGAGGCUAAUACCACUAAUCACCAUUUAUUAGAAUUGCUUUCUCAUAAUCAAGAAGCAGUGAGCUACUAUCCGACAUAGUUAAGCAUACAAAUUUGGGAAACAUAUAAUGCUGGAAAAAUUCAAAGUGACGAUAGUUAUGAAAAAUAAAACUAAAAGAGAAGGAGAAGACACUAUUAUCCUAGACACAGGAAUAGUAUUUUCUCCUUCAAGGCCUUUUAAAAAAACUCUCAGCCAAUUGUUUACGGGUAAAAUAGUCUUUGCAUUAGAACAAUUUCUAAGUUCAAAAAUUGAUUAGGGGCAAAACAGAUAUUUUGUAUUUAAAUUGUAUAGUAAAUUUACAUCGCUACUCUUAGAAAAAAUAAAUUUUAGCUUCUACUAAGAAUUACUUUUGUAUUUUUAUAGAAAAAAUAAAUUUACCCAGGGUUGCUUCAUGAGACCAAAAUUAUUGUUAUGGGGUUGCUUCUGUUGCAUCUCAAUUAUGAAAAAAACAACACGUGUAUAGAUAAGUUUGUCGGUUUGUCCCCGACGACUAUUCCUUUUUUCUUCUCUUUUCUUACCUCUCCCUUCCUCGAUCUUUGUUCCUACCCUGUAAUUUUUCAGAUAAGCUAUUAAACUCUUUUUUUUUAAUUUAGUCCAUGUUUUUUUGUUAUUGGUUGCUUUAUUUUAAAUAAUUUAUGAAAUUAAAAUCUUAUUUCAAUUUUAAUUUCAUCCUCAUUCAAGUUCUUGUUUUUUCAAAUUUGAUCUCUAUUUUUUAAUUGCUAUUUAUAGAAUCUAAGAUAAUUUUUUAUUUGAUUUUUUUUUAUGAUUUCACCCUUCAUUAUUUCUUUUCUUAUUAGAUUUCAUCUUCAUUCUUUUGAUUGUUGUUUUUUUACUCAAUUUCAACCUUCAACUUUUAAUUUGUUUGGAUUUUAGCUUAUUGGUUAAACCUGUGUCUAGGAUUUUACAGGUUGCAAGUUUUGAAAAUUAACACAACUUUAGGGUGUUCGCUCGAGAUUUAUUUGUUUUGUUUUAUAUUUUUUGAAUUCAAUGUUUUUUCAGUUUCAUCAUUUGAUAUUGAUUUUAUUGGGGAUUGGGCUCUAUUUUUUUUUCCAACUUUCAGUGUCCUUUGUUUUAUCAUUUUUUUUAUUUGAUUGGGUUCUCUCAUGUCUUUUUAUUUAUUAUAAUUUCUUAAGUUUAUUUUUAUAGAUAAAUUUUAUUUUUGAGUUAAAUAUAAUUGAUUUGUUGAAUAUAGGCGGACGAUCACUCCCCGGUUUCUUUUAAUGUCAUCAUGCACUUUUUUAUAGUGAGGUUUAGACCAUCUUAACAAGGUCUUUUAGUGAUGGAUAUUAUCCAUAGUGGAAUGAAGACGAGUCUACAACAAUCUUUGCUUUCUUUUUCUUUUUAGUAUGAUGCUGACAACUUAUUUGUUUUAAUUAAUUAUUAUCAGAUAUUUUUUAUACGUUUUGUUUGCUAUCAUUAUCUAUAAUUUAAUUCAGACUACUAUAUUACUUGAUAUUAUUUGAAUUCAAGUUAAUGAUAUGAAUAUUAAUUUUUUAAAAAAAUACAAUCAUUACCUAAGUAUCUAUAUUAAAUAUUAAAAAAAAAUUGAUAAGCCCGUGACGUAAAGUGGGUCACAGGUGUUGUAAUAUCUAUCAAGACUGUACUUGGACACAUAACAUGAGGAAGCACAUGGAAGACAUGGGCGACAUCGCCCACCAGGGAAAUCUAUAAUGCAAUUUUCAGUAGAUUUUUUGUUGACAUAAAGUAAGCUGUUUUUCUUGGGCCGUUUGGCCCCUUCUUUCACCCCCCAAGAAAAAAGUGGACAGAAGGCCUGGCUAUACCUGCAAGUCAAAUCAUCAACACGUAGGUCUAGAAUCUAAUGCUAGUCUAAUUAAUUUCUUUUAAUAUAAAAAAAAUAUUUAGAAUCACUAUUAUUUUUUCCUCCAAAACUUUUUCUUAAAUCAUUGUUUUAAUGUUACAUGAAAAGUUUAAAAAUAAUUUGCAUAAUUAAUAAAAAAAUAGUUUAAUUAAAAAUGAUAUAUUUUUAUUAUAAAUAUUAAAAUGAUAAUAUAUUAAAUAAAUUUAGGUUUAUUUGGAUUGAUCUGCUAAUUUGCAUGCUGUGUUAUGAGAUUAUGAUAACAUUAUAAAAAAUAAAUUAAAAUAAAUUAUAAAAAAUAAAAUAAAAAAAUAAAUUACCUGGGUUAACCCAGGUUAACUCUCAAUAGAGUCAACCGAGUUAAAUUGUUAAACUCGUAGUACAGGUCAUGAGAAUGAGAUAACCUCAUGAAACAUUAUUUUUUUUAAAAAAAAAUAUGAAGUUCAAUCUCCAAUAAAUCUCAUAUUGAAUAAUAAAAUUAAAAUUAAAAAAUAAAUUAAAAAGGAACACGAAAAAAUAACUUGAGUCAACCCGAAUUAACCUACAAAACUCAUGGCCUAAGUCAUGAGAUAAGGAUGAUCUCAUAUAAUACAAGCUAAAAUAAAUCGUAAAAUCUUAUUUUUAAUUAACUCAAUGCUAAAAGAGAAAAUUAAAAGAGAAAAAGUUAAUUAAAAAAAUAAAAUAAAACUCGAGUUAAUCGAGUUAACUCGUUAAAUUCAUGGUUCGUGUCGUGUUGAAAUUUAUAAAAAAUAAAUUAUAAAUUUAAUAUUAAUUAAAAAAAUUGAAUUAAAAAAAAGAUAAAUAGUAAAAAUAAAAGGCAGGAAAAAUAAUAUUAUUUUUAUGAACAGUAUUUCCACCGAUUAAUCACAUACAACUUUGAUUCUUGCAAUCACAUCUUACUCUAAUUGUGUAUAUUCACAGUUUUCUGUGAAUGGAUUGGUAGUCUAGGACUGAUCAUGUUCUCAUUUAAAAUUGGUUUAGCAAUGUUUGUUUUUGACGUGUAAAAUAAUAUUUUUAUUUAAAAUUAAUAUUUUUAUAUAAUUUUAAUAUGAUGAUAUUAAAAAUAAUUUUUUUUAAAAAAAAUUAAUAUACUUUUAAAUAAAAUAUAUUUUAAAAAAUAACUAAUUUCAUACUACUAAACAAGCCUUUUAUUAAUAAAUGAUGCUACCCCGCUCACACUUCAUUCUUUCUUCCUAAUAGAAAUGUUUUUAAAUAUAUAACUAAAAAAAAUUAUUAUCAUUUAAAAGAAACUCUAUAAACAAAAAAAAAACUAACUUAAAUAUAAAUUAAAAAAUUUAGAGAAAAAACCAUAAAAAACCAUUAAUUUAAAAAAAUAAUUAGAAAAAAAGAGAGCAAAUGCUAGAUGUUGUUUGGCUUAGCAAGACAGUUAAUCCACCUGAACCAUUUGUCAGGGCUCGCGUGAUUGAGCUCUUACUAUUUUUUUGUUUGUAACUACCACCCUAAAUAUUUUUGAAAAAUAAUUAAAUGACGCAUCGUUUAAUUUGCCCUGAUCCGUUCACUGUGGUGGCUGAAAAAUCAAGGGUUAAUUUUUUUUACUCAAAAGCCCAUUUUUCAACCCAUUUAUUACCCAAAACACCUAUAAAACAUUUUAGGAACUAUGAAAAAAAACCUAUUUAUGACCUAAAAAAACUAAUAAACCACCCUAAAAACCAAAAUCAACUCGAAUAAAAAAAUUAACCAAAGUUCAGAUUUGUUUUUUCAUGAACUUUAAAGAUAAAUAAACAUUUAAUAUGAAAUUCUCUCAUCAAAUGUAACAAUUUGACAUAAAUAUCAUCCGUUUUAGUGAUCUAAAUCGAGGUCAACAACACUUUUUUUUCUCUACCACUGGAAUCUGGCGACCUUUCUCUCUGCUCUCUCAACCAGAGACUAAAAACUAAUAAAAAUGAGUUUUUGUACCAAAAUUAAGUUGGAAAAAUAUUGAGGUACUAGAAUUGUAUAAUUAAUGUGAUUUUUAAAGUUUAAUGAUCAAAGUGCAUAUUUUGCAAGACUUAUGGCAAGCCAUCCAUGUUUGACUUCUUUUUCAUUCUGGUCCCUUUUCUUUCAAUCACACAUUUUUAUAAGAAAUCAAAAUUAAUUGGUCUUCAAUUAUGACUAAAUUGUCGGAAAAAAAAGUUUGAGUCUCAAAUUAAAAAAAACAUAAAAUUUUGCAUAGCCCAUCAUCCACAAUGAUAUAUGAGAUGAUGAACAGUAGAGUCUUGCAUAGUAAAAAACUCAUGAAGAGUAAUACUUAAUUUUUUUUUGGAAGGACUAAGUUAUAAUUUGUAUUUUAAAUACAUAGUUUUUGACACUACAAGGACUACUUAAUUAGUCUCGUUAAACUAUAAGGACUAGAUAAUAGUUCGUUCACAGAAAUGAUAGAAGCACCGGACCACCCGUAUCACUUUAAGGGAUCGAAUCGUGAGAUUUAUAGAGGAUUCGAGGACUGGUUAUUGCUCCCUAAAAAUCAGCUAGCCCACCAGCUGUCUGAUAAUUUGAUGCUGUAGAGUUCUCUAUCAACCCUUUUAGAAUGGUUCGUCCAUUUCUUCUAGUGAUCAGUUUCUAUUACCGUAAACAAAAUAAAGUCAGCCCACCAGCUGUUUGAUAAAAUUCCCAAACGAAUAUUUUGUUUUGGCUUACAGGAUUUUAUUGAGCAGAAAAGACACAAAGAGCUGGCCAAUCCAUCUUCAUUUUACCGCUUGGUCUACUCAGAGGUUGACUUUAACGUCAAUGAAUUAUUUCCUGAUUGUGUUUUUUCUUUUCUUUUCUUUGCUUUCAGGUUGCGUUGAGUCGAUAAUGUUUUCGUUGUUCUUGUAUGACAGAUAGAAGAAGUUGGAUGGGAGCGUCUGGUUCGUUUCGGUGGAGAUUUAGAGUUCCUUAGUUUUCGUAUUACGUAAGGAUAGAAUAAGUUCUUAAUAUCCAAUUACUAUCUAUCUCGUUUUGCAUUAUAAUUUAUUUUGGUUCUCCUUCAAGUUUACUUAAACAUGUAGUGGACUAACCUGUUGUGUAUUUGAGUAUCAGUGAUAAGAAGGGAAGAGUUCAUAUCAUGGAAAUUCAGUUGGAUAAAACCUAUCCGCAAAAGCCACCUUCAGUUUCUGCGGUUGGUCCUAAUAAUCUGUUUGCUAUUUGAAUUCUUUCAUUUCAAGGCUGAAACUUUCUUCAUUUUUAAACUAUUGCAGGAGGUACCAUAUAUAUUCAAUGUUAAAUGGUCAGUAAAAUCAAGAUUAAAAGAUUUGGUGCAACAGUUCCGAGAGGUAUGCUUUCACAGGUUCUUUUCUUGUGUUUUCAAUUACGAAAAUUUUAGUUUUCAUGUGACUUCUGGGGACAUGAUCUUUGUAAUAACUCUGUAAUGUUACAUCUAAAAAGGGUGUCAACCGAGAUUGUUCUUUCUAAAUAUAACAGCAUUUGGAAGAGCUUCAGGAGUUUUGGUCUACCUUGGAGGAUAUUGAUCAUUCUCUUUGUGUCACUAACAAGAAAAAGUUGUCUCGCGCCACAACUUGUCGCCAAAUUGAUAUAGGUAUUUAUUUGGUCACGCAUUUUUGUCUUCUGUUGUUGAUCAACUGAAAUACAUGUGCUUUGCCAGCUGAGGUUAGCUAUAUGAUUAUAUUUUUUGUCCAUUCAGUAUCUAUCGAACAAUUUGUGAAUAGUGUAACACAGAAUCCUGUUUGUUGUAAUUAAAACCUCCUCCCCUUUUCCUGACCUUUCCCCAGGAAAUGAUUGUUCGAUAAUGUUGUCUAUAAAUGCCAGAGAUCCUAGAUCUUUGCCAGAGUAAGUUUUCUUGUCAAAUCGAUGUUAUUGUCUAGCCAGUCUUGGCUUUCCAUUCUCUAAUGAAUUUCUUAAGUUUGAAUAGGUGUCGCUUUAUGGGCUCUGGUCCAGUGGUGAACCCUGUGAGAAAGUUAUGGCUAAGAAACAACAAACGAUGGUACGAUCUUGAGUCUGCUCAGUUUAUGAUUAGCAUUUUGAGUUCAAUAACCUGUUAGUAUUAUAACCAGGGUACAAUUGUUGAGAUUUUCUUUUGUGUUUUUCAAAUAAGUAAAAUGCAUUCCAAUAGGGAAAAGGGAAGGAGGGGUAGCCUGUUCGCUAUUUUCCCUAAAUUUUCCAUCCAUUGUUUGAAGUAGUGAUAGUAUUAUCAUUCAUUUUGGAAAAAGAGUGACUUCAUUGUCAACUGUACCAAUCAGUGAAUACUCCAUACACAUGCGCACUUGGAUUAAUUUUUACAGGAUGAAGGAUAAAACACUUCCUGAAAAUCUUGCAUUUAUUCUGGAGACUGAACUACCAAGACCAUCACAUGUCCUGGAGAAUGAUCAGCAAGUUGAAUGUGGAAUCUGUUAUGCCCAAUACCUUCCCAUCGGUAAUGCUAUACUAAGUAGAAGUGUUUAUAUUUUUGAAUUAGUUCAUUUAUCAUUGACCUGUAAAUGUUCAUGUAGAUGAGGAGCUUGGAUCUAGGAGUGGUGCUGGAACUGACCAUACAUGUGAUAAUACCAGUUGUGGCAGGGCUUUCCAUACUGUUUGUCUGGUGGACUGGCUGCGCUCUAUCACCACAACUAGGCAGUACGUUGACUUUUUAGUAUCUCUGGAUUUUAUUUGGCUCACAUAAGAUAAGUAUGGUUUUAGUUCUCAUUCACUGCAUUUUGAAGAGUGGUUUAAGUUGAGAUUGCUUUGCUGCAUUUUCUGCUCAUUUUCCAUAUCUAACACGUCUCCACUAAAUGUUCAUGUCUCACUGGUUGCGCUCUAUCACAACAACUAGGCAAUACGUUGACUUUUUAGUAUCUCUGGCUUUGCUUUUACCUGUCUCGCAUAAGAUAAGCAUGGUUUUAGUCCCCAUUCACUGCAUUUUGAAGAGUGAUUUUAAGUUGAGAUUGCUUUGCUGCACUUUUUGCCCUUUUUCCAUAGCUAAUACUUCACCAAAUGUUCAUAUCUUAACCAUCUACUUUGAUUUUUAAAAGAAAAAAGAAACUUUCUGCGUUGGCUCACUCUAUCAUGGAUUGUUUCCAAAUCCUUCGGUACCUUUUCUAGUACAUUUUUGCACAUGUAAAUGGGUAGGUAAAUUGGUAGGACCAGCUAUCCAGGUUUACGAACCUUUGAAAUUACACAAUUAAAACAACUUUUAAAAUAUGACGAUGCCACAAGAUUCAGUGAGAAGUUUUAGAGGUCUAUUUUAGAGUCCUUUCAAUAAUAGAUCCUCCAAUUUUCUUGUACUUUAUGAUGAGGAAUGAAGGAUAACGACAAGAACUGAUAUCUGUUUAUUUAGAAAUUUCAAAAUCAUAUGAUUAUUCUAUAUUUUAUUAUUAUUUAUAAAUGUUAUUAUUUAUUGUUUAGUAGUUAAAUUAAGAUUUUAGUUUUCUUAUGGAAUUAAAACUUAUUAGGUUUUCAUAUUUUAUUUGGUUUGGUGCAUAUAAAUAAGCAUCUAAACAUCUGUUACGAAAUGGUUGGAUUAUUGAAUACAUUAAAUUGAGCUUUCUUCAAGAUUGGGUGUCUCUCUUGUGUUUUGUUCUUCAGGAUCGAGUAUCUUUCUUGUUUUGAUUUCUACAAGAUUGAGUGUAUCUCUUUGUGGUGAUCUUCUUGGUGAUUCCACAUCAAUUUGGUAUUAUAACUAUUCCACUAUAAUUUUGUCUUUCUUGAUCUUGAAAUUUUUUCUUCAUAUAUUUUCUUCCUACAAUUGCUUUUUUCUAGUUGUAUCAUAAUUUCAUUUUAUCUCCUUAAAAUAUAUGGGUUCUAUCAGUUUCUUUUUAAAAGUGUGUUCUUAUCAAUUUUCUCCUGUGACAUUUCAUUCUCUUAUCAAGAAGAUUCUUUCAUCCAUCUAAGAAUUAUAGAAAAUGCCUUUAUAUUUUAUAAACUUCAAUUUUCCUUCAAAAGUGCAGUUAGUUUAUCAAUUAAUUCUCUGAAAACAGUUCACUUGAUUCAUUCGAAAUAUUUAUAUAUAAUUUGACUUUGAAAGGAAAUUCGCUUCGAAUAGACAUAAAAAAAUACAAUAAAUUCGGAAAAAAAUUAAAAAUAAAAUAAAAUAUAAAGCCAAAUUCACUUAAAAGUCGAAUAAGAAAAAUGUAUACAUAUAGCUCAUUAAAUUGUUUUUUAGAAAAAUAAAAACAGAAGUUCAACUUGCUAACCAUGCAGAAUUUUUUAGAUUGAAGAAAAGUACAAAUGAAUUUAAUAGAAAAUCAAAUUUACAUGUAAUUUUCAUUAUCAAUUCUCUUACUUUCUCUAUUUCUCGUUUUCAAUCAAUUUUUAUUUUUUUUAAUGUUGUCAUCAUAUGAGUCAUUAAGGUCAUUUUUAUUUGAUCGAAAACAAUUAAUAGCAAUCUUCAUAGUCUACUUUUGUGGAUACAAUUUGCUAAUUUUUUUUUUAUAGUAGGAAAUUUUUUUUUACCGUGUUGGGAUUAAUUUAAUAUGACUCGGUUAACUUGACAGGUUCAAAAAUAGCACGGACUACUAGUAAAAAUAUAGUUUGACUCAAAAUAAAUAUUCAAGAUAAUAUUUUUUUAUAAAUAUCGAAAUGACAACAUAUUGGAUUGAUUCAGGUUAACCUGCUAAUCCACAUGCCGGAUCGUGAAACUAUGAUAACUCUAUAUAAAAUAAAUCAAAACAAUUAUGAAGUUCAAUUUUCAAUAAAUCCAAUGUUGAAGGAUAAAAUUGAAAAAAAAAAUCAAUUAAAAAAAUGACUUGAGUCAGACCAAGAUAAUCUGCCAAACCCUCGACCUAGGUCAUGAGACCGGGAUAACCCAUUAGAAAACAAAUUAUAAAGUUUAAUUCUUAAUUAAUCAAAUGUUGAAAGAUGAAAUUGAAAAAAAAAUGAUUAAAAAAGGAUAAAAAAAUGACUCGAGUCAACCUGGGUUAAUCCGUCAAACCCUGACUCGAGUCAUGAGACGAGAACAACCUCAUAGAAAGUAAACCGAAUUAAAUUACGAAGCUUAAUUUUCAAUUAAUCUAACAUUGAAGGAUAAAAUUGAGAAAAAAAUAAAUUAGAAAAAAAAACUCGAGUUAACUAGGUUAACUCGUUAAACUCGCGGUCUGGAUCAUGAGAUUGAAAUAACCUUAUAAAAGGUAAAUUGAAAAAAAUUAUGAAACUCAAUCUCAAUAAACUUAAUGUUAAGGAUGAAAUUGAUAUUGAAAAAUUGAUUAAAAAAACACAAAACCCAACUCGAGUCAACCUGAGUUAACUCACCAAACUCGUGAUGUGAGUCAUAUGAGGGGAUAACCUCAUAGAAAAUAAACCGAAAUAAAUCACAAAGCUUAAUUACCAAUCAAUCCAAUGUUGAAGGAUGAAAUUGAGAAAAAAAAAGUCAAUGAGAAAAAGGAAAAAAAAAACUUAAAUCAACCAAGUUAACCCUAAAACUUGCGGCCCGGGUUAUGAGAUUAGAAUAACCUUAUAAAAAGUAAAUUGUAAAAAAUUUAGAAGUUCAAUUCUUAAUAAAUCUAAUAUCAAAGAUGAAAUUGAAGAAAAAAAAUUAUGUAUAUAAAAAUGCCAAAAGAAUGAAAAACAAUACUAUUCUAGUAAAACAUACUAAACAAUACUAUUCUUUUUUUCUUUUUUUCUUUUCUUCUUUUUUUGGUUAAUAAUCAAUUUGAUUAUGGCGGAUCAACCUUCCAAGUACCAUCUUCAUAACCAAUAGAAUUAUGAUCGGAGAAGUAGACUUCAGGAACAAAGUGAGCCAAGUUUAACGUUUUUGGUUAGAUUUUCACAUAUUUUAAUCGUAUCAAAGUGAUUGUAUCACAUGAAAUAUUUUAUGACUGUGGUUAUUUGGAGAAUAUAUUUAUGUUUGAGGAGUUGCCUUUCGUUCAAUUUCAAUAAAUGAGACAUGCUAUUCCAGAUUUAUUUAAGGUUAAUGACAUUUGUUUUUAUGAAAAUUGUUGUAAGGUGGGUAUCCUAUUCACAGAUAUAGAAAGUUACCAAUGUAUUAUGAUAAUGGGAGCCUUAAAUAUCAUCUAUCAUUCGAAACGAAAAGUUUAAUUGUCACAACGUUCGGUUAAUAAGCUCUUUUGAUUGUAAACACUUAGAUCUCCAAAAUUAUUUAAGUUAUUUUUUUCUUGCGACUCAAGUCUAAACUAUGCAAACCAACUACAGUAAAUUUAAGGCAGAACCUGAGCGAUAAAUUUGACUGGUUCACAGUCUAUGUUGGGCAUUUUAUGAAGUAAGCAGAAUUUGUAAAACAAGUAGAUAAAUCGCGUCGGAGAGAAAUUUUUAGAGGAGAUUAAGAUCAUGUAGAUACAUGAUGUGUAAGACAUGGAGGAUGAAGAAUUUAAUGCAAUGGAUCUUGUACAAGAAAGGUUUGGAAGUACCACAAAUUGAAAAUUCUAUCCUUGAAGAGUUUAAAGAAAAGGUUAAUCACAAUGACUUUGUUCUUCCUUCUGUAUUGUUGUUAAGAAGUCUAAGUCUAUCUUAUUUCCAAUCAAGGGAAAAUGAAUGGGGAUGAAGGGCAAGUGAGUAACGAAUGGAAUUGGUAUUUGUUUAUUAGAAAUUUUAAUAGUAAUGAUCAUUCUAGAUUUUAUUAUUAUUUAAAAAUAUUAGUAUUUAUAAUUUAGUAGUUAAAUUUAAGGGUCAAUUUCAUUUUACUUCCUGAAAUAUAUGAGUUAUAUCAAUUUCUUCUCAAAAAUAUAUUCUCAAUCGAUUACACUCCUAAGUUGUUUAAUCAAUUACUCUUUAUAGAUGAAAGGACCUUAUAGAUAAAGGGAUGAAAUAUCAUAAGAUAAUUGAUAAAGAACAAAUUUUUGAGAAGAAAUUGAUAGAAUCCAUAUCCUUUAGGGGAUAAAAUAAAAUUAACCCUUAAAUUAGGAUUCUAAUUUCCGUAUGGAAUUAGUAUUUAUUAGGUUUUUUCUAUUUUUUUUUUGUCUGGUAUAUAUAAAUAAGCACUUAACAUGGUUAUUGAAUGGUUGAGUUUUUGAAUAAAAUAAAUUGAGUUUUCUUCAAGAUUGAGUAUAUCUUUUUUAUGUUACUUUCUUCAAUAUCGAGUGUCUCUCUUAUUGGUAAUCUUCUUGACGUUUCUGCAUCACUUUAUUAUCGGUAGUUCUUCAAAAAGUACUAUGAAAUAAUUGACCUAUCACCACGGUUGAUGGUUAAGAGUAAAUAUUAGAUUCAGUGAACAAGAUACAGCAUAAUUUGUUGCCGACACUGGUGAUGAUGGUUACUACUUACAAUUUGUGGUGGCCUCAUUUAAGGUAAAUCUCAACUUUAAUUGCUCUAUUAGGGGAAAUUUAACAGAACAUCUGCACCGCAGGAAAUGAUAGGGUCAUUAAAAGCAUUGAUAAUUAGUUUUUGUUUUUGUUCCUCUUAAUUAAGUUGCAUAGAGAAGAUCCACACCGACCUAUUAUUUUCUCUGAUUGUUUUAAAUACUGGGGUUUAAAUGAUUUGUGGAUUCUUGCAUCUUUUCAUUGCAGAUCGUUUGAUGUCCUGUUUGGUAAUUGCCCGUACUGUUCCGAGCCUGUUGCAGUCAAAUUGAACGAUAAAAAGAAGCAUGUCUAGGUCUUCAAAGCAUCAAGGCCAAGAAAGACGGAGGUUCAAUGGGAUCCGUUCUCUUUGAUUGCCCUUAUUUGUCUAUUGACUUGAUGUUCUUCGUCUCAAACAAAAGAGUCUCUAAUUGGAUUUCCUUUUCUAACUGGAUUUUAUUCCGUAGGCAUUGUUGUUGAACUGAACGAUAAAAGGAAGCAUUCUUGUUAAACAUGAUCUCAUUGCUUUGUUAGACAACGAAUUCCUCAGCUGAACACUCCAUUCCCGCAAGUCCUAGUAAAUCUGCCAAUUCUUGAAAAAUCAACUCUUAAAGUGAGAAACUAUGGUGAUUUCAGGGACCACUUUUGUUACUCAUUUAUAUAUUCCACAAUUUCAUUUAAUGUGACCUGCGAUACAGCAAUGAUAUGCAACUUUCAAUUCAUUAUUUCCUGUCCUUGACCUUAUCUCUUGGCCUGUUGAUUAUUGAUCACAAGUUUUCACUGCUUGAUUGAAAGCUGCCAAGUGAUCCAAUUUUCUCUAAACCUAGCAUCUUAAUUUCUUGUCGAUGAUUGAUCUGCCACUUUGGAUAUGCCUUGCUUCUUGCUGCAGUCUAUAGGCACUGACAGGUAGACUUUUUAGUUUUUUGUUUUUGUUGAACCCAAGGAACCGCAUUCUUACAACAACAGUUGAUUGGCACCUAUGCUUAAAGUUUGUAGAUACGCCAUAUUGAACUAGUUUACACUUGGCUUUCGAUUAAAUUGGCCACAGUUUCAAAGAAUAGUCCAUAGUUCUACCAGCUUUGUGUGUCUCGGGGGGGCACGAAGAGGGGAAGGGUUCCCCUGAUCGCUUUCAUAUUGACCUGUCUAGCUUUUGCUUCCUUCACUAUAACCUUACCAUUUAAAGGGAACAAGGCUAGUUGAGAAACAUGCACGUUACAGGCAUUUGAAUGGAGGGGCACAUAUUUCACGUAUGAAUCCAAUUUUUAAAUCCCUCGAAAUAACGUGGAUUUAGCGUUGAGGCCUUGAUAGAAAGAAAAUUAGAGGGGACAAAAGCAAUAGACCUCAAUCCAUGAAUCGAUUCUUCUGACAAGAUCCAGUCUACUCUCAAGAGGAAGCAUUUCAGGCUUUCAUGCUUGAGUGGAGUAGUAAUGUUCAUGCUACGUCGUAAAGCACCCCACCUACUCUCUGGGUUACUCAUGGGCCAUGUGAAUCAUGUUGUUGUAGAUCAUACAAGAGGGUCUCAAAAAGAUGGGGACCAAUUCGUGUAGGAGUAAUAAGAGCCAGAAAAAAUUCAAAAGGAUUGCCGUACUCCACCUUCGGCCAUUUCCUUUCCAUUCUUUCUUCCUCUGUCGGCUUGUAUCAUGAUUGAACGUUUAAUGAACCUACCAUGUCCUUUGGUUUUUUUAAAAAAAGUAGACAGUGGCAAGAUUUUUCUUGCUCCACCUUUGAAAAUCAAAACCCUUGCGCACAAUAAUAGACAAGCUUUUUUUAUAGGCACAAAAUAUUGUGCAUCAUAUACAGACACGCUUGAUUACAAGGUAGAUAUCGACUUUUUUUUAUUUGUUUUUUUGCCCCUCUCCAAGAAUAAACUUAGAACUGGUGGUCCACAUAGGCACACAGGAAUGAUUUAUUACCCUUUUUACAUGCAUGGCUCUUGUCGCACAAUAUAGGAGAGUACCGGGACAACGACUUGUACGUAAAUGGCGUAGGAAAGACAUUCAAGUAUACGAUAUCAAUGUCUAUGUACUGGUUUGCUUGAUGGAUUGGUUGAUUGUCGCAAACUAGAUACCGGCAACGCACUCUGGUGGUGUAGUCGGAUAACGGGAUUUGUCGGCACAGUAAUCAUAAAUCAUGUGGUUCAUACGGACCCAUCUAUAUUUCCUAGCUUCCAUGGCGUUGAGGGCUUGGUAAGUAGCACCUUCCCACCAGUUUCCACGAUUUGAAGCACAGGUUGCUGGUCCUGGAACCGGACAUCCCUCGAUGUCGAAGUCCUUGUAGUAUGCAUAGAAAGGGGCUUUGCUCCAAUUAAUCUUUUCUAGGCCACCUCUUGUUGCCCAAUCGUCGGCCUCCCACAGUGUUGAAUAUACCCCCAUAGGCUGGAGCUUUGGAAAUGGAAUUCCUUUCGCCUCAUUGUUCUUGUAAACCCUGAUAGGCACAUCAUCUACGAAGAACCUGCAAUCCCCACCAGCAAUAAUACCAUUAACAGUGCAAUUACUCUGUAUAGUCUCCCAAUUACAAAAUUAAUGAUUGAAGGUUGAAAACUUCAACACUUGAACAUAAAAAAAUGGCUGCCCUGUUGCUCUGUCACCGAUAAAAAAGUUAAUAAUGGGUAUUUUGCUAUGAACUUACACAAUAUGUUGAUGGUUCCAGAAAAUUGUGUAGAGGUGGAAGUCUGCAGCAGGAUCAAACCACAGGUUAACUCUCUGUUCUCUAUCACCCUUUCCAUGAGCAAAGAUAUUUGUUUGAACCGUGUAAGGCUGCCCUGUCCUAUUCCCCAGAAAUUCAAAAUCAAGCUCAUCUCGAACGGCAUCGGUGUCCGAAUUCAUCUACAAAAACAAAAAUCAAAUGAAAUAAUGAAACUUCAACGUUUGAAUGAGCAUGCAAGUGUAGUAUAUGAAAUCAUGAAUUCAAAACAUGGACUACACACAUAAAAGGCAGUGACAGUCCCAGCAGAGUCUCCAGGGAUGAGCUUGAUCCUCAUGCUAACACGGCCGAACAAGUACUUGGCCUUGGAUGCGAACCCACAUCCUGAAAUAUUGUAACAAGUCUUAGUUUGUCGAACGUUAUUGUAAUUAGAUCAUUUGUCAAGAUUUCCAAUUAUUGUAAUUAGCUAGUGACCCCACGAAAAGUGUGACCUGAAUAUUGGUCUAGAACGAGUUGGAUAGCCCUCCCUCCAUCGAUUUGCCUGAUAUGGGAAUCGGACCAUGUGACUCUAAAGUCUUGAAGAAAAGUUGCCGGUCGAGCCGAGACGUGGAGAGGAAAUGCAAGGAAGGAAAAGAAAAGAAAGACACUAGCCUUUCUCAGGGAGAGAGAUUGAAGAAACAUGGUCAUGAUCAUUAGAGUUUUGUGUUACAAAAAGUGAUAUUAAGAGUAUUGUUAGGCCGUGUGAUUUAGAGAGGUUAAGGGCUCUUGCUAUAUAUACACACAGACACCAGUUGUAAGAUACAUGAUGUUGACUGCAGCAUUCAAGUGAAAAACAACACUGCAGUUUUGCUUUCAAAUCUAGCUAAUGGCAUGCCGUCAAUAGGCCCUACUCCCAACUGUGUCCGUGUGUGCUUAUUUUGCUUCGACCCUUGUUCCCUCUUAUCCUCCACCUCAUAAUUUUCUUCAACUCAUUCUUAAUUUCCCAGACGCAAUACGUAGAACUACCAGUCUACAUUUUGAUACACUUUAUCUUCCUAUGUAUUAUUGCCCGAAAUUACAAGGACCUGUAAUCCAUUUCUUGACUUUUCAAGUUAGCGUCCAAGAAAUCUCAAGGGUGUAGCUUAACUGGUCAGACUCUGAAUUUGUUCUCUAAAUAUUACCAAUUUGAGUGCUACAAAUCUCAGGGUCACUGGAAGAUUACCUGUUCAUUAACUUUAGGGCCUCGAGGGAUUAGUUAAGAUGCACACAAACUGACCCAACACCUACAAUUACCACAAAAAAAAAAAAAGUUCGAAUCAAAGAAAUCUCAUUAAAUCCCUCCGAAUAUAUCGAACUGAGACGGGGAAUGCACCUUUGAAAUCAUUAAAAAAAAAAAAGAGGAAAAAUGAAGAAGAUAUUAUUGUGUGGAGGCUAGAAAAACUUGGAGCUUCCCAGCUAAUACCCCCAAAACCGUAAUAGCUAGCUAGUUGUCUUGGAUAGCAAUCGCUGUGAAAAGGAUGGAGCAUAGGUUUGAUCCAAUCAGAUAAACUCUCCAAAUUUAAUGGCCCUUCAUGAGAUUCAAUGUUAAAUUUAACAAUUCUUAAUAAAAAAGAAUUAAGUAAAAAACAAACUUUUUUAAAAAUAAAAAAAAAACAAAAAAAAUCCAACACAAAACAAGGUACAGAGCACAAUCACAAGUCAGCAAAAUACCAAACAGCCCCGAAUUCUGGUCAAACAGCCCCAAGUUAAAAGGCUGUGCUUCCAUUUCUUGCAAUAAUAACAAUUCAUUUAUUCUUAUAUCCGUGGCCAGCCCAUAGACAGAGAUUGAUUUUGAUCUGCCGAUUGAUAGAAACCUCUAAUGUGGAGCCCAUUAUUAAGUAGGCUGUAUCGACUAGGUUUGGACUUUCUCGGGCCCAUCUCAACUUCUUCAAGCUUCGUAGUUUUCUGUGCAGUAAAUUACAAUUAAGUCCUUGAUUUUAGUAACUUAUUAAUUUUAUAAGACAAAUUGUGUAGACAUCGAUAUUACAUAUCUACUCAAAAAAUUGGAUUUUUUUCAAAUAUAUAUAUAUAUAUACAAGAUAAAUGAUACAAUUUUGAGGAUAAUUUAGUUUUUAGUCAUGAGAUUGGGGAAAGAUUGGGUAUACAGUGGUGUAUGGGGCAACGAUUAGACCUUGGUCUUGCUCCCACAUUAGAUUGGCCAGCUUGAAUAUUGAUUGAAGGACUUGACUUAAUUGCCAGUGGUAGAAUAACUGUGGUGUGUUCGAAUUACCCUACAUAUACAUAUACUUGAAUAUGUGCGUGUGUGGAAUUUUUUUUGUCAGGAGAUACUCAAUAUUUCAUGACAAGAUAUACAUGGUGUAUUUGUUUUUAGGACAUAGGCCCCUUAAAUUAUUGAAGCAUUCAUUACAAUACAUGAAUUAAAUUGAAUUUUUAUUUGCAUCAUUAUAAUCUUUAAAUUGAGUUAUUUCUUAAUAAAAAUAUGAAAACAUGUUGUCAAUAAUAUCACUGGCGGAGAUAAUGGGUGCGAUUUUGAUCAAAUAAUGUUUUAUAGAUAUAAAAAUAACGACGGUAGCAAUAACAAAGAAAGGGUGAUAAUAAUAAUAAAAAAAUAGUUAUAUAGUCAUGAUAAUGAAUAUGAGACAAUAAUGGUAAUGAUGAUAGUAUUAAUAUUCUUUUUUAAUAAACAAUUUGCAGGAAAUCAAUAAAGAAUAGUUUGUUUUGGGUAGAUUUUUUUUAAAAGAAAAUAUUCAUUUUUAUUUUUGUGUAUUUUUCUUGGAAAGCAUUUUUUUAAUAAAAAAACUAUUCAAUGUAAUUCUAUAAAUUGUUUUAUAAAUCACUUAAUAAUUUUAUCUAAUUAUUUCAAUAAUCACUAUGAUCCAACCACAUUUAUUAUUGUUUUGGCUUCCAUCACUAAAUUUUAAUCAUUAUAACUAUUUAUUCAUCCCACUCUUCUUUUUAUUAUCACCACUACAAUACCUUUCUAAUUAUUAUCUUCAUAAAUAUAUUAUUUUAUCUUCAUAAAUAUAUUAUUAUCAUUCUAUUUCUUAUAUAAUUAAAAAUUAUAUAUAAAAAAAGCUUCUACUAACAAUGUAUAUUUUGCAGAAAAAAUAUUUUAGGCAAAUCAAACGUUAUUGAGUUGCACCAUAAAUAUAUAACAAAUACACGUCAAGCUAAACGACAAAGAGAUCACUUUUUUAUUUACAUGAUUGAAAUGGAAAGAAUCAUCCGUGCAACAAAUUAGAGAAAGCCACGUAGUCAUAUGGAAACUUGCCCACGUUUUGCUUGGAUUGUAGCGCCCCAACAACUGAGCUGGAGCUUAUGUUCCAUCCCUCGUGGCACAAUAUUAUUGGAAGAGAGGUGAGUUGGAUAGGAGAAUCAUACUGUGGUCAUAAAGCAGUAGGCCAGAUUUUUUAUUGUACUUGUCGGACCAACAAGAGUGAUGUAUAUGUGCUAGCUACAUGGACUCGUGUUUAACACUGAUUGGUCUGAGAAAAAUAAUCCUCUUAUAACUUGAAAGAGCUGGGCCACCCAAGAUUUAUUAUUAUUGCAUCAUAUUUUUUAAUUAAAAAAAUAUUAUUAUUUUUAUUUAUUUUUGAUAAAAACUAUUAAAAAAACACAUAAAAACAUUUAUUUAAUAUUUUUCAGGCAAAAAAAAUCUUAAAAAACAUUAAAAAAAACAGAUUAAACCGUAUUACUAAACACACUCUUAGUUCAACAAGAAUUCUCGUAAAAAAAUUAUGUUUUGUUUGUAUUUCUUAAUUAUAUAUAAAAAUAAGAUAUAAAAAUAUAUUUAUUUAAAGAGACAUAGCUGAAAAUAUAAGAUAAAUAAGAUAAUCUUGGAAUAGUUUUGGAGUAAAUUUUGUACUUUCAAAAUAAAAAGUAUAAAAAGACAUAUUUUUUAUAUAUAUAAAUUGUCUCUGCAUCUUUUAUCACGAGACAGUAACUAAACACUAUCAAGAAAAAUAAUAUUUCAAAUAACAUUUAAUUCAUAUUCUAAAAAUGUUAUUUCCAUAAAUAUCUUCAAAUAGCAACAAGCUAAUAAUUCAAUAUUCUUUAUUCUUAUUUUUGCAGUCGUUAUUUGGUAUAUAAAAAAGAUUUCUACUGAUACAAUUAUGGAAGAAAUAUUUCAUAGGCUAGAUUCAUGUAUAUAUACCAAAAAGUUGGUCAAAGCUCCAUAUAUUGUAUUUCUUUUAUCUAUUAACUCAAAAUUAAUGACGUUAUCUUGAACGAAUGUAAAAUUGGAUAGAACUACACAUAAUCAAAAUAAACGAGAAUUAACCACUUUGUUUAUUUAUAAAUCUCAAUAUACAUAUAUAUAUUAGUUCCAAUCAACAAAUUAAUUGCAACUCAAUGGAUAAUAUUUUUUCUUCUUCUAAAAGUCUUUUAUUUAUAACUAAGAAAAUCGUUUUAAUUCCAGAUUUCUGGCUAUUCCAUGAUAUGGAUAUUCAAGCUUGCCAGUCACGUCAUUGUAAGUAAUGUGCAAUAACACUCUCUUCUUGUAUGAAUUUUGAGAGACUCUCGAACUGGAGAGCGAUAUGGACAAAGGUCGUCAAUAAAUGGUAGGAACAGAGGCCAAUCAAAGGACAAGUCGUGAUAAGUUUCCAGGCCAUCCGAAGACUUGAUUUGAUGGGAUUGGAGUAACUUCAUUAAUGGUAGGACUUGUGGUGGGUUUUCAGGCCAUGGAAGACUUGGUUUGAUGGGAUGGAAGUAGUCUCCAUUAAUAUUCAUCCAAAUUUCCCUUAACCUUUCUUUAUAUAUAUUAGAUUCCGUUAGAUAUUUUAAAGGAAUAUGUUUUCUGGACUUGGAAACUAUUUUAAAAAUAUUUUUUCUUCAAAAAUAUUUUAUAAGAAAAAUGAUUAAAUUUUACAACUAAUUUUUAAAUUUAAUUUAUUUGCUGGAAAAUAUUUUCAGCUCAAAAAAUUAUAUAAAAUAUUUUACAAAUAAUAAUUCACUUAUAAGAUUAUCUAACUAUUUCAAUUAUAUCUCCAUCUUAUCAUUACAUUCCCUUUCAUCACCACUACAAUCUCUUUCUUUACCAUUCCAUUACUGUCACACCAUGAUAACCACUUUUUUUUACCAUCAUCAAUUUCUUUUCUAUCAUCAUCUUCAUGUCAUAAUCGCUACCAUUGAAAAAUAUUUGUAUAUUUUACAUAAAAUGUUUUUCAAAUUAAACAUUAAAAAAUAUUUUAUACGAAACCAAUGUAAUCUAAAACUAUGUUUUCUCUUGGAAACAUGAUUUCAAUCCAAUUAAAAUAUAUAAAUAGCUCAUUCAUUAUUUAAUUUGAAGACUUUUUGAUAUUUCUAGGAGAUUCAUUUUAACCUUGAACUUUCUUAGUAUGUCUCGUUUAUUCUAUCUUUGGACAUCACUGAUAUGGAUAGCAGCCCACAAUCAUCAUCACCCUCUACCUUUGCUAAUACCCCAAAUCCUCCCUUUUCAAGAAUCAUUGCAGCAUCUGGUAAGUUUGAGUUGGGAAUGGCCAUAAUUUCUACUAUUACAGUUUGAAAAAAAAAGAUUUAAAAUAAACUAUAAAUUGUAAUUUUUUUAACUUAAGUUUCAACAGAGAUUUUUCAAUAAAUUAAAUUCAUAUUAACUAAAUAAACAAUUUUAAAUAUGUAGUUAAAACAAAACGCAAAUCAUAACACACCGCCUGAACCGAAUUUUUAUAGCACCACAAUGCCAUAACAUUAGGAGAAACCAAAACUUGGAUGAUUAAAAAGUAUCCAUGUAAAUUCAACAUCCGGUAUCAUGUCAGCAUCGGCCACUGAGCAGUGCUAAAUGCAUGGAUGUAGACGCACACAGUCGAAGAGAUUGUAUCGACCUAAUUCGUUUGGUUUUCCUCCCCUUUCAUGUCUCUGUGUACCAAAUUGAAAAAAAAAGAAGAAGAAAUAAUUCAAUACGAACCUUAUCUACAAUACAUGGAAGAAAUUGGGGGUGGGGGGGCCAUUUUGCAAUUUAUGUAGCUUAAUUUAAAAGUAUUUGUCAUAGCUAGGGAAACAUGCAUCUUGUUUAAUCUUCAUCUAGAGAGACAUAAUUAAGCAUAGGCACCCUACAUGCUCAUCACCUAAUGGAUUAGCAAGAUGAUCAAAUAUUCGUUAAUAUAUUACCAAGGCUGUAGCUGGCUGGUCAAUCACUUCUGUGCCAUUAUACUGAUGUGAACACAGUAACCACCUCACUUAUUUUCAUCAAGUAAGCAGCACAAAUAAUAAUAAUUAUUAUUGUUGUUGUUGUUAACAAAUAUCUUUCUAAAUAAAAUAAGCAUUCUAAAUUUUAUGAUUUUCCAAGCAAUAAAAUUAAGAAAAAAUUGAUGGAAAAGCCCAAAAAAAUCUCUUAAUUCCCCUUUUCUUUCUUAGCAACUCGUAAUACAGAAGAAAAACUAACUCAUAUUCAUCUUCUUUUUUCUUUUCUCUUCUAACACCUGAAUCUAAGCUUGUAAGCUAUAUAUAUAUAUAUAAAGGAGAAAAAUUAAAGAAAGUUCCAUGAAGCCCUAAAAGAAACAUAAAAUUAAAAAUCCCAAUUAGAUUUAUCUCUAAAAACCCCAAUUUGAAAGAUUUUCAAUUCUAAAAAGCCAUAAAAAACCCAUCUUCUUUCUUGGUUAAUUUGUGUUUUGAAUGAGGAUUCUAUGUAUGAAUUUACAUUUCAAAGAUUAAUUUUCAGUUUAAUUUUUUUAUUUAGAUUGAAUCGAUUAAAUAGUUGUUGAUGAUGUUCAAGUAAUUACAGAAGAGAUUUAAAUACUUCUUUCCUAUAUAUAUAUUAGAGAAAGAGAGAGGAAUUAGAAAGAUUCUAUAGGUUUUUUUGUCAAUAUUUUUAAUAGAACCCUAUCAAAAGAGGCAAAUUCAAAAGAUGAAAAAUAUUUUUUUUUAGUUCGGCGAGAUAUUUGUUUCUUCGCUUAAGCUCAGAUGGUAUCUUACAAUUUGGACUUUUUUUUAGUGGUAAAAGUAUCAUCAUGUUAACUUUUAUGCAUCUAAAACGGCUUAAUGACAACUUUUGACCUCUAAACUAUUGGGAUUGUGAAACAUCGAGUUCUAUAUAUACUAUUAAUUUUGUCAAUUUAUCCCUUCACUAUCACGUUUGAGAAAAUGUUGUUCUCUGUUUGAUUCGACUAUUACCACUCUUGACCAAAAAAAAAAAAAAAAACCAUUUUGAUGGCUUUUCUUCGCGAUGGCUAGGAUGCCUUGGAUAUUUUUUCGUCAAUCCUUCCAACUUAAUUACCAAUACUAAACACGAACUUGAAAAUAGAUUCUAGUUUGUAGUUUUCACUUGUUAAAUGGCCAUUACUGCGGCUUUCAUCUCAAAUCUCCGUUUUAUUUGUACUGUCCAUAUAGAUUUAUAUUUGAGAAGCAUGUAUUUGGCAGCCCUUUGGAGGCUUUGGACUUUUUUUUGCUUUCUUCUUGUCAUUCAUGUGCUUUUCAUCUAAUAUUUCAUUUUUCAAUCAUGCGUAUGUCUACUUAAGAUACAUCAAAAGCAUGUCUUUGAUAGCCUUUCUUUUCAACGACUAUAAUAGUUUUAUAAAAAUUCAACAACGGUCCAAUGCCAAAUUAGUAUUUGGCCAGUUGCAGCAUGGAUAUCUCCCACCGAUGUCUCACCUAAAUGGGAUGUUCGAUGGUUCUUCUACAGGCAAGCCAGGUAGCUUGGGGACUGGAUGCCUGCUCAGAAACUAAGAGGGGAUGUUUCUCCAGUAGCUUAUCUUCUAGCUGGUCCUUAUCAAUCUUUCUGAGUAUCAAAAAAGCUCCAACGUCGUUUCCAAGCUUCUUGGUUUGCACAAUUUCCUCUCUUAACUUGAGCACUCUUCUGAAAAGAAUGCUGUGUACUAUCUUUUUAUAAACUCUAGAAAAAGUAGAAGACCUAGCUGGGAUACAUUUACAGUCAUAUUGGAAAAAAGAUCCUUGCUCAAUAAAUCAUAAUGUUGUAAGAUCUUAUGCUGAGAUGAUUAAUCAAUCUGGGUAUAUUGAUAAAGUAAUACUUUAGCAGUGUUUUGUCAAUGAGAUUAAUUGCUGGAGGAGGCGAAGCAAACCAGUGAAGAGCAGAGAGUUAGGUUAGAUCUUUUGAAUAAAUAUGACCAUUGGUAUAUAGCUGUUGAUCAUUAUACGUAGCGUUUCACUUAGUCCAUAUGCAACGUCUCACUUAGUAAAUAAAAUGUCACACGUAGCUUUGUAAGAGAGUCUUGUCUUGUACAAGGAAUAUCCUAUUAUAUAACCUGUAACUUAAUUGCCAAAGAAUGAGUAAAAAUGAUCUCUCUCUCUCUACCAUUAACACAUUCUCAUACCUUGCAUUAUUUGCUCCGUUGAAUGCCAUAUUGACCUUUAGAGACGCUCCCUUGAAAUCUUACUUCCUUCAAGUGAUAUCAGAGUCAUUAAUUUUUGGAUGCUUGCUAUGACUCCUGACACUUGAUCCUAAAAUCUUUAAAAAAUGGAAGAAUUCUUUGGACCUGCAAGAAGGAACAAUCACAGAAGUAUGAACAAGUUAUGAAAAUAUUAGAGGUGUAUGGUCAGCAAUAAGAAAAUACUAAAUCCACCCAUGAAACCAAGUGUGAGGAGCUUGGGGAGCUUAUCAAUGGUUAUUCUUGUUAGAGAAUAAUAUAAAUUAUAUCAUGGGACGUCACCUAACAACUUAAACUUUUGAAUUAAGAUGGUUCUUUGACAUAGUAUCAGAGCCUUAAUGACCAAGCGGUCACGAGUUCGAAUCUCAUCAUCCCCUAUUUAUUUGAUAAAAAUUAAGCACAAGGUAAUGUGGGUCUGUGCAAGUUCCAAGCCCAAAUAGCUUUCACUUAAAGGGGUGUGCUAGAGAAUAAUAUAAAUCAUAUCAUGGAACCUCACCUAACAGGUUAAGCUUUUGGGUUGAGAUGGUUCUUUGACAAUCCUACCAACAAAGCUUUAUUCUACGGAAGCUACAACUAUACUCUGAUGAAACCAUUACCAUUACCACCAAACCUCUAAUUCAGUGGAAUAUGCUGUAAAAUGAUGUUGGACCUGUGAAGGAAGCUACUACCCUUACAAGUUACAUAAACCUAAAUAAAACUUUUUUAAUUUUAAUGGUGAGGAAGUACACAAAUAGUUAUACAUGUGCACCUAAUAUUUUGAUAUAAAAAAAGUUAUUGAUUCUAGGAAGCUAAGCUAGACUCACAUUAUUUUGAUGGAAUGAUCCCUUACUAGCACCGAGACUUCAUAAGAAGUAAAGGUAGCCAAGUGGUGAUUUGGGGUGAAUAUGUGGAAGCAAUAUAUUUCAGAUUUGGGCAGAAAGAUCCACUAGAAAAACUUAAAGAUCUCAAGUAAAUAAAGGAUCUAGAGACUUAUAUUAAAGACUUUGAUAUACAUGGAACAAGACAAAAAUUAAUAAGAAGCAAACUUUAAUGUUUUUCACAGGAGGUUUAAAGGUAGAAAUAAAAAAUCUUAUGAAAAUGUUUGAACCUAAAACUUUAAAACAAGCUUACAAAUUGGCAUGCCUAAAAGAAAACACCUUAACUUACAAAAGAUCCUACCAGAAUCAUUUUAAACUCCCUUCAUAAACCACCAACCAAACAAUCCAACCUAAAACCAUCAACAAUUAAACACCUUACAAAGUUCCAUCUUCAUUAACCAUGAACAACCAAAGACCUUCUAAAAUAACUUCUUACCUACUCCUACCAAAACUUCAUUACAAACCAACCAUGAAACUUACCAAAUAUGUAAGGAAUAAAGUGCUAGGUGAAAAAAAGGCCAAGAGAUUGUGUUUUUGGUGCAAUGAUAAAUUUGUACCAGGCCAUAGAUAUAAAAAUAAAAAACUAUACUCUUUGUGUAUAGUGGAGGAUAGAGAUGAGGAAGUGGAGGAUGGUGAUGGGGUUGAGAGAGAGGAAUUCAUUCAUGAGAAAAUUACCCUAUAUAUCUUAAUUAAUGCCUUAUAAUGAGUCAUUAGCUUCCACACUCUAAGGGUUACUAGAAUGAUAGAUAAACAUCUAUUUUUUUUUAAUUAUGAUGGGCUCUAGUAGUACUCAUGAUUUUAUCAACAUUCAAAUGGACAAUAAAUUAUAGUGUAACCUCACAGUUAUAAAGCCAUUAACAGUGGAAUCAAUAAAUAGGGAACUAAUGAUUUGCAUAACUAUGUGCAGAAACUCAAAUAAAAAAUACAAGGGAUUAGUUUUGUGGUUGAUGUGUUCAUUAUAGAUUUCAAUAAUUAUGAUAUGAUGCUAGGUAUAUAAUGGUUAGCCAUGUUCGGCAAUAUUAUGUCAAAUUAUAAAAAGUUUUGGAUGUCUUUUGAGUGGCAUAAUCAGGAAAUGAUACAUAGGGGAGAGAAUCAUAUUAGGUACAAACCAUCAUGUUUGAGUAAAUCAAUAGUCUGUUAGACAACCCAACUUAAGUAGCAAAGGUCAGUGUGUAUACACUACCACAAACUUUAUAUUUACCGAUGAAAUUUUCCGUCGGUAUUUGUACUAUCAUUCCGUUAGUAAUUAAUUUACCAAUGAAAUCACUGACGAAAAUGCUUCGUCGGUGAAUCUUUCAUCGAUAAUAAAAUUUUUUAUUAUCGAUGGAUUUACUGAUGGAAAAGGCGUUUAAAAAAAUUACCUGCUUCAUUUCAUCGGUAUUUCCCUCGGAAAAAUACCAUAUGUAAUUCCGUCGGUAAUUAUUUAAAAAUAUUUUUAAAUAAAUCCAUUUUACAAAACUAUAAAAUAAUUAAAUUAAUAUAAAUGAGCACUCUAUAAUACUCAAAACACUUGGAAAAAAGAAGAAGAAAAUCAACUCAAACAAAUUUACAACAAGUAAAUAACACGAAAAAAUAAAUUCAACUAAAAAAAUUCAUAUGAAAAAAAUGAAGUUGUGAUUGCUAAAAAUUUAAAAAUCCUAUAAAUAAAUCAACUAAAAAUUGAUCACAUAUGAAAAAAAAAUAUCCUACAACAAUAUUCAUACAAUUAUUAAUUAAAAAUAAAAUAAAAAACAAAUAUAGUGAAAAAAAACACGAAAAAAGAAGAAGAAAAAAUCUCACCUUAAUUAUUUCUUUCCCACUGUAAUUCCCUUGGUAUAUACCGAGGAAAUAUUUCCAUUGAAAAUUUACGGACGGAAAUAUUCCCUCGAUAUUUCCGUUUGUAUUUAUUGAUUUUCUGGUAGUGAUCGUCUAAGGCUAAUUUAAAAAGCUGGCAAUGAGAUACAUUUAAUGUUACUACUCUCUCACCUAAGGUUGAAAGGAGUCUUGUUUUAAAGUCAUUGUUGGAAUCAUAUCAAGAUAUAUUCAGGGAUCCUAAAGGCUUACCUUCACCAAGACCUCAUAAAAAUUUUAUACCUCUAAAGAAUGGAGCUCAACUUAUUAGCCCAAUGCCUUACAAGCAUUUUGGAUUACAAAAGGAUAUUAUGGAGAUAGUGUUUUCUGAAAUGCUAGUCUGGUGUCAUAUAACAUAGUCAUCGUUCUUUUACUUCUCUGGUAGUCUUAGUGAAAAAGAAAAUUAACUUAUGAAGACUUUAUAUAGACUACAAGGAACUUAACAAGCUUACAGUAAAAGAAAACUCCAUAUAUCAUUGAUUAAUGAGUUGUUAGAGGAACUAGUGGGUGUAAUAAUCUUCUCCAAGACUAACUCGAGGGCAGGUUAUUAUCAUAAUAGAAUGAGUCAUGGAGACAUAUACAAUAUUGUAUCUAGGACUUAUAAUGACCAUUAUGAGUUUUUGAUCAUGCCUUUUGACUUAACCAAACCUUUAACCAUAUUUUAGAGCUUAAUGAAUGAAGUGUUUUGUGUGCGCCUCAUAAAGUUUAUUCUUGUGUUCUUUGAUGACAUCAUAAUCUACAGUCAUACUUUUAUUGACUACUUAAGACAUUUAUAGAUUGUGUUUGAACUCUUGAUUUCUCAUCAAUUGGUUACUAAAAAUAGUAAAUAUGUCUUCUGCAAUGACACAAUGUAAUACUUAAGCUAGCUAUAUCAUUUUGAAGACAUAGGUGACUAUUAAUCCAUAAAAAAUGCAAGCUAUAAUGGAUUGGUUUAUUCCCAACAACAUCAAUCAGUUAAAAGGCUUUAUUGGGUUGGGUAUUAUAGAAAGUUUAUAAAGGGUUAUGGUUUGGUUUAUUCCCUUAAACAAAUUACUAAAAAAAGAUGUUUUUGAAAGAAAUGAUGAGGCUACAGCUGCCUUGAAACUCCUUAAUAAAGUCAUGACCAAGCCACUUGUUAUAGCACUACUAGAUUUGAAUAAGAUAUUUGUGGUGGAGAGUGAUGCAUCAGUUAUGGGUAUAGAAGCAAUAUUGAUGCAAGAAGGGCAUCCUAUAACUCUUAUUAUCAAGUUGCCUGGUCAAAGGCAACAAUCAUCAUCUAUUUAUGAAAGAUAAAUAUUGGUCAUCCUUUAAGCUAUGGUGAAAUAGAGGCACCACCUCUGAAGCAAACACUUCAAGAUUAGGAUAAACCAUAUCAGCCUUAAGUAUCUACUUGAUCAAAAGGUAACUUGUCCUUCCUAACAAUUAUGGCUAGCUAAACUACUAGAUUUUUAUUACAAAAUUGAGUAUAGAAAGGGCAAGAACAAUCUUUAAUGGAGAAAUAUAUGUACGGUGGUAUCAAUUAUCUCUACUAAUAUUAUGGAUGAAGUUAAAAGGUAAUGAGAGAAGGAUGCUACUAUGUAAAGUAUUAUACAUAAACUACUCAAGGACCUUAAUUCUCACCUCCACUAUAAAUGGAUGAAUAGUCAUUUACAUAGAAAAGGGGAAAUAGUGAUGGGAUGUGAUCUUAUAUUGUAAGCUAAAUUGAUAGUUAUACAUCAUAACUCUGUUAUAGGAGGAUAUUAUGGCGCUACAGUAACUGCAAAGGGGGUGGAGAGUAUUUUCUAUUGGAAAAAAUAGUAUAAGCAUAUAAAAGGCAAAUUGUUUGGGAAUGUCCAACUUGUUAAAAAAACAAAAUAGAGAAUGUGUUAACCCCUAAAAUAUUCCAACCUCUACCUAUUCUCCAAACACCAUUCAAUAACAUUAGCAUUGAUUUUAUAGAGGUUUUGCCUAAAUCAGUUGGUAAGAAAGUCAUCUUUCUAGUUAUGGGUAAGUUUAACAAGUAUGAUCAUUUCAUGGCCAUAAUUCAUUAAAGCUUUGUUGCAUCCCACCUAGUCAUCUAAUAUAACUUGCAAGAGUGAUGAUUGGCGAUGUUAGAAUUGACUUCUUCUUUGUAUUAAGAUUUACAUGAUUGUCUUGUAAAGGAAUUCUUUCUCUUUCAAUAUCCAGAGAAAAGUGGAGAACUUCUUCUUAUGGUACUUUUUUUUAUUAUAAAAUGGGUCAAUAUAUUCUUUAUUCAUGUUUUCUUAUGCAAAACUAUUUGUGGACCAAUUGAUAUGAGGUAAGCAAUAUGCAUAGUUUUGAAAGCGAUAGAUGAGUGUGGAAUUUCAAGGAAUAAAAAUUAUUGAUGCCAUUUUAGUGUUUAAAAAUAAAGGAGGUCUAAGGUUCUUAAUCCUUUUUUUUUUUAAUUUCUAAGAAGAAUUUGGGGGGGGGGUUGUGGAGGAAGAUGGUUUUAGUAAAAACCUAAAUGUUGUGUCUAAGGCCAGAGCAUGCAUAAUUUUUUGAAAACAAUAAAUUAAUUGACAUGUUAGCACAUUUAAGAACAUGGUCGAUACUUUUGGAUGAAUAGUGACACUUAUCAUGUCAGUGGUGAUCAAUUCAAUCGAUUAAUUUUAGUUAAAAUAUGAUGGGGGAAUAUUUUUUUUCUUUUAAGAAAUAAAGGAAUACAUGGUAUUUGUUUAUAUAAAAAAAUAAACAUUAACAUGACAAUCAAAUGAGAACAUUAAUUGCUCAUGUUUAAACAAAAUAAAGAAGUUGAAAUUGAUUAUAAGUAGUGGAAUCGACCAAGUUUAAAUAUUACAAAUUGAUUAAGGGAACGAGAAAUUAGUUGCUCAAAUGAUCAGGAAUCAUCAUUGACCAAAGCAAAGCAAUAAAUUAUAGGAUUUUAAAUUCACAUGAAUGACCAAAAGGUCCAAUCCUACUUCGAACGGGAGUCUUUGACCGGUUAAAUUGACCAAGCGGUGUAGUUUAGUUAGGAUUUACAUAAUUAUCAGUAAAGAAAAAGUUUAGUUUGUAUUAUGAUUUAGUAUGCCAUAUGAUAAAUAUUACUUUGUGGUGAAAGAUAGAUGCGUUAGAUCAACAAAAUCAAUAUUAUUUUGUGGUCAAGUAAAAAAAGGUAGAAUAUUAAGGUGCCCAACUGGGCAGGUUAAAUGUACUCAAAAGUAAAAUCCAAGGCUAUACGAUACCAAGGAUUAAGGAAGACUCUUACGUGGUUCCCUAAGUUUCUGUCUCUCCCUCUCUUGUCAAGUCUUACCUGUCCUUGAUUUAGAUCCAAUCAUCCAAGUGAAACUCAUAUCCAGUAAAACUUUUGUCUUUGAAGCAUUCGAACUCAAGAACAAAAAAAAAAAAACAAUCCAAAUCUUGCAUAUACAUAACGCAUUUAAUUACUCCAGUCUCCUGAAGGGUAGUUGCAAAAAAGGCUACUACACUUUUUAUCGCCAUUACAGAAUCUAAGGGCCUUGUUUUUGCGGGUAAGUUUCCUUUUUCCUUCAUCGCUUUUUAUGAAAGUGGGUUUGUUUUUAGAUCAUCAAAAUGCUCUGCUUUUACAUUUUGUACUUUUUUUUUUAUGGAUUUGGUUGGUUUUGGAUUGAUUCUAUUAUAAGGGAACUUGGUUGCUUCAUGUUUCCGAUAUGGAAGUGUUAUAGAUCUUUUCUCAUUAAUUGAUGCACUGGGAUCACUAUCAUGUGUGCACUAGAGCUUUGAUCCGUUUCUUUAUUUUGUUAUAUUCGAGUGAUCGUUUGUGUCGGCCGGAAGCUCUGUAGAUCAGAUCCUGUAUUUUCAUGGAGAGUGAUACAAUUUCAGUUUCAUGACAAUGGCAUGCAUGUUGGGGUCGCUUUUGUCUUGUAUUGAUGGGAUUUGAGUUUGGAUUCUCAGUUUUGCAUUUCGUAGUUAGCAGAUUGAUUUGGACAAAUUGGUAGUGCUGACAGUAAUGAAAAUUUGUAACAAUGAGGCACAGAUAAUUAAAUUUGUUAAUUGCCAAUCAUUUCAGUAAUUGAAAUUCUUUAGGCUUGAUAAAUUUGAUAGCUGAGGUCGUUUUCUGUAGCCCCUUUGUUUUAUUAUACAUUUUGGAUUAGUUUGAUAUCUCUUAGCAGGAGCAUGGAAAUGAUAUGAGUUUAACUUUUUAGUAGAUUUCAAAAGGAGAAGUAUUUGCUGUGGUUGAGGCGUAUUCAACAUGUCCCGGUUAUCACCUCGUAGGAACCAGAGAUCAAAAGGUUUUAAGGUCAAGCAUGCUCUGCAAAUAUGUCUUCUGAUCGGUGUUUGUGGCUGGCUACUUUACCAAGUCAAGCACUCUCAUGAUAAGAAAGCAGCAUAUGAGAAAAGUGUGAAAACAGAGAAUGAUGUUGUAAAAUUAGGGAGAAAGGACCUCCAGCCUGAAGUUAAAGAAAAUUUCAUUGGAGAUGAGAGGCACAAGGAGGAGGAAGAGGAAGAGAGCAAGAGCGAAGAAGAAAGCAAACCUGAUGAUAACACAGGAACAGAGGGUGGCGAUGAUGAGAUUCAUGAUCAUUUUCAUGAUAAGACAGAAGAAGGAGCUGAGCGUAGAGAAGAUUCUAUAGAUGGGGAGAAGGAAGCAGAGGAUAAGACUGAAGAGGGAGUUGAGCAUAGAGAGGAUUCUGUAGAUGGAGAGAAGGAAAGGGAAGUGAGAAAUGAGAACGUCAGUGAAGGGAUGGAGAGGGAGGGUACAAGGGAUAAUGUUAAUGAUGACAGAGAGAAGGGAGAGAUCAGGGAGAAUUAUAGUGAGGAUAAGGAGACUGAAGAGAGCAAAAGGAGUGAUGGUGAGGAUAAGGAGAAUGUAGAGGGAAAAGAGAUUGAAAUUGAAGAGAGCAAAGAAAGUGAAAGCAUAAACAGAGAGACUGAAGAAAGCAAGGAGAAUGAAGAGGGCAAAGAAGGUGAAAGCGAGCACAGAGAGAGAGAGAGGAAGGAGAGUGAAGAGAGCAAAGAAAGUGAAAGCGAACACAGAGGGAGUGAAGACAGCAAGGAGAAUGAAGAGAGCAAAGAAAGUGAAAGCGAGCACAGAGAAAGUGAAGAGAGGAAGGUGAAUGAAGAGAGCAAAGAAAGUGAAAGCGAACACAGAGAGAGUGAAGACAGCAAGGAGAAUGAAGAGAGAAAAGAAAGUGAAAGUGAGCACAGAGAGACUGAAGACAGCAAGGAGCACGAAAUGAGCGAAGAGACUGCAAAUGAGAAUAAAGAAAAUGCAAGUGAAGAAAAGGAAAGGGUGGAAGAGAGUCAGCAGAAGGAAAAUAAAGAGGUUGUGGAACAAAGCAAUGAGG
rnacentral:lncRNA from 1 species